rnacentral:lncRNA from 1 species
CGAGAGUCGUCACGCACACACGCAUAGACAUAGACAUGCAUAUCCGUGUUUACGUAAAAUUCCAUCUCCAUCUCCAUCUCCAAUCAUAUUUGUCCAACUGGCACAUUAUUUACGUUGUUAAUUAUAUACGCAGCAAUAUUAACAUACAACAUCUCUUGUUUGCGGGCGUCCGGACCGCUGCCACGCCCGCUCCUGACCAACCCGAACCCUCUUCAUCACCCAUGUGUGCUUCCUGCUCGAAACGGUUAGUGCUGCAUUCAUGCCCGGCCAGAGUGGACGUGGCCUCUCACUGGCGCCGUCAUUGAAGCGGCACGCCGGCUAAGAGAGCGUCGCCCGCGUUGCUUCCUAGUGCAUGCGACUGCUCCGUGUUCAAAGGUCACAAUAGCUGGCCACAACAUGCAUGUAAAAAGUUCUUGGGAGUCCGUGCUAUAGCUAGUUGUCCUCCCCCAACUCGUCAAUCUCUUCCAGUAGUGCUAGUACUCCAUGGCACGAUCCAUCCACAAGCAGGCGGGAAAGUUGUUACUCGGUUUGCGGUGAGUGGCAUGACGAGCGACCGUGUGGGGUCGAGCCAUGGAGGAGGGUGAGACACAAACGCGACAGGUGCGAUUUAAACGUUGGUUUUGCUCGAUGGUGCGAUCCAACGAAAUGAAACGUUGGUUUCUCUCUGUUUCCAUUUUUUCUCGGGAAAAAUAGAAACUUUCCACUCAUUUUCAUUCCUACUCCAAGGUUGCCCCGUUACAACAUUCCAUCAAAUACAAAGGAAAACUAACACGCAUGCUGAUGCAUCUCAAUGAUUCACAGAUCAUAGCCAAUAUUUACUUCACAACUAAAGAUAAAAGUUGUGAAAGCAUGUACAAAAGAAAAACUAUUGAUGGGGUCACUACGACUUAAACCCUAAAACCUACACAUUAUUUAAUUUCCUGGCUAGGUAGAACCUAUCGAAGGAAAGACUGCUAGCAGCCUCGGAUCAUACGAUGCUUUUAUGCAGUUCCACUAAAAUCGAGCUGAGCAUCCCUGAUGGCAAAGAUAUUGAAGAAGAGUGAUCAGAAUAAUAGUACUGGCACUAGUUCAUGAGACAUAAACUCAUCACAAAUAGAAGCCGGUAGAAGUAGAGAAAGAUCGACAUGGAGAUGGAGCAACGUGGGGAGCUGCGGCAGUGGAGCAAGCCGGCUCCAAAAGGAAGAUGUACUACCUGUGACGUCGGGCUGUAGCUAGAAGGGCGGUUGGGACGCGGCAUCAGCCCAUACCGUGGGGAACCCCGAUUGGGACGCACCGACUGUGGGUUUUCUCCCUCGCCGUCGCUGAUGUCAACCGCGUCUCCCAGUGGCGGGAUCAGGCCGGAUAUGUGACCGGCGGUGUGGCCACCAUCGUUCUAUGCUUGUGAAGAGAGCAACCCAAGCCAGCAAGCUUGUAGCUUAGGCUCCUGCUAGUGUAUAUAUAGUGGUUUUAUUUUUCUCUCCAUAUCAACCAUUUAUAUUGUGUACGUGUCAUUGAAGAGUGAAAUGAUGGUUGCUUCUUCCGACUAACUUACUGUGUGAUUUGACUGCUCCUUGGUGCCCCCUACAUGAACUCCUCCUACGUGUAUGACCGUUUGUGAGUCUCACUUGUACUUAUCUCUAUUUUCUUGCAUGAAUCAUAGACAGGAUGUGCAUAGAGGAAUUUUGUUACUGCACGUUGUUACGUAGUACUAUACUACUAGGCCCUACUCCCUCCUUCCGGUUCACUACUGGUAUUCCCUCCGUCCUGGCUUAUUGGUCCCCUUUGUACUCAAUUCAUGGGCUCGUUUUCCUCAUGAAAAUUGUCUUUAGCAAUGUAUUAAUAUCGGGAAUGCAUGCAUAAACAACGAACGAUUAAACCUUGCAUGCAACAUUUUGACAAAGCAUUGACUUAUGAACAUGUGAAUGUAAGGGACUACAACCUCGUGCAUGCAUGCAACAGUCACACGUACACAUGGAUGCAAAAACGUGUGCGACGCCCUAAUGCAUGCAUGUCCGAGCACACAACUGAACACACACAGUCACACUCCAAGUGCUCAACCUACAUGUGCAUGCACACACAUACUCAGCCAGGGUGAGCUAGUGACCAUAUAAACACUGGAAAAUGUAUAUAUUGAGCGCAAUGAGCAUAUUAUGAAGUCCACUGACCGUACUUUUACAAAUAUACAGUGACAAACAGUGUAUUUAUCUCGUUUGAAAUUAAGCCAUAUUAACCAGAGAGGAGGCAGUAUGGACUAGCAUUACUUUGUUGUGUCCCGUCAACUUGUCGAACGAGGAAUACUUCCUUAAUUACUCUUAUCCCCAAGAAGUUAAGCCCUGAAGUGGUUGAUGAUUUUCGGCCCAUCUCAUUGACCAACACUUGCUUGAAGUUUUUAACUAAACCGCUGGCUAGUCGUCUUCAGAAAGUGAUCCUGAGAUGUUUCCAUCAUAAUCAAUAUGGUUUUCUUUGUUGUCGAUCUAUUCAAGAUUGUCUGGCUUGGUGUUUCGAAUACAUUCAUCAAUGUAAAGCUUCAACGCGUCCCAUCAUCCUCCUCAGGCUUGAUUUUACGAAGGCAUUCGAUACAAUUGAGCAUGAAGUUAUUCUCAGAAUCUUGUAAUGCAAGGGUUUUGAUAAUCGUUGGACUGGCUGGAUUAAUAGCAUCUUGUCUACGGGAUCUUCUUCCGUGCUCUUAAACGGGGUGCCAGGCAAUCACUUUGUCUGCAUAUCGGGCGUUCGUCAAGGGGAUCCUUUAUCUCUGUUAUUAUUUGUGAUUGUAGUUGAUUUGCUCCAGUCAGUGGUCAACGAGAUGUGCUCCAGGAACAUUCUUUCAUUACCAAUCCCAACCAGUUCCAAUGAUUACCCGAUUGUCCAAUAUGCGGAUGAUACCCUCAUUGUCCUACCUGCGAUAGACGUUCAACUCAUUGCCUUCAAGGAGAUGCUUGACACCUUUGCGGUUUCAAUAGGAUUGCGUGUCAACUUCAGCAAAUCCUCCCUUAUUCCAAUCAAUAUGAGUGCCGAGGAGGGCGCUAGGGUUGCCAGUUUGCUCGGAUGUGAUGUUGGCUCCAUGCCGUUCACAUAUCUAGGGUUACCCAUGGGAACUUCUAGACCUACAAUCUAUGGCCUACUGCCUCUGGUUGAUCGCAUUGAGCGCCAUUUAUCUGCUUCCUCUUGCCUCCUGAAUCAAGGGAGCCGUCUACACCUGCUUCAAUCAGUGUUGUGUUUCAUGCCGAUUUAUUUCUUGUGUACACUCUCUCUUCCCAAGGGCAUUUUGCAGUAGAUUGAGCGAAUCAUGCGAGAAUGUUUGUGGAGAGGAAACACGGAUAACCCACGCCAAUCAUUGGCUGCUUGGGAUUUGGUCUGUCGGCCUAAGAAGUACGGUGGUCUGGGUGUUCUUAAUUUGGGAAUUCAAAAUGAGGCCUUGUUGCUCAAGCACCUCUUCAAGUUUUUUAACAGGGUUGACAUGCCUUGGGUCACAUUAAUUUGGGACACUUAUUAUGCUUCCUCACCGCCACAAGUUACUCAGAGCUAUGGCUCCUUUUGGGGGCGUGAUGUCAUGCAUUUAUAUAACAACUUCUGCAAGUUAUCUGUUCCACAAGUGUAUGCAGGCAACACGGUGGUCUUUUGGCUUGAUCGAUGGCAGUUGGGUAAUAAUGUUGUCCUAAUGCAUGAGCAGUUCCCACGGCUUCAUUCAUUUGUGAUUGAUGAUAUGAUUACAAUCAAAUACUUUAUGGAGCGGCCUGAUGCCUCUGAUCACUUCCAUCUGCCUCUGUAACAUGAGGCUUAUAUUGAGUUCACCCAACUCCAGUCUCUGCUGUCACUGAUCAACCUGGAUGAGGAAAGAAAGGACAUCUGGAAAUGGCCAUCUAAAUAUGGGGAUUUUAAGUCAAAGAUUUACUAUGAGUCUUGCUUCUCCCACCUGGUGGUUGAUCCCAUUUUCAAAUGGAUUUGGAAGUGUGCAUGCAUGCUCAAGUUCAAGGUGUUUGGAUGGCUUCUCUUAAUGGACCGUUUGAAUACUAGGGAUAUGAUGCAGUGCCGACACUGGAUCAUAUAGGAUGACACAUGUGUUCUAUGCCACUGUGCUACUCAUGAAGAUCGUGCACAUCUCUUCUUUCCUUGCAACUUUAGUCAAAGGGUUUGGAACCACCUUGGGAUUUCUUGGAUUGUUCAACUGAACCAGACUACAUAUGAGAUGGCUCUAUCAGCUAGGAGGGAUUUUGGCCUUCCUUUUUUCACAGAGGUUGUCUUCACUGCUACAUGGAAUAUUUGGACACAAAGGAAUGGGAAGAUCUUCGGAAAUGAGUUGUCUUCCUUCACAUCUUGGAGGAGGAAUUUAUCCAUGACAUUUCUUUUUUGGCUCAUAGAAUUAAAUGUAAAUAUAAACAUAGCUUAAUCUCCUGGAUAGCUACCCUUUCUUAGACCUCUUUGUAAGUAUUUUCCUUUUGUUUUUCUUGUAAAUUGUAAUCUUGUAAUUCUCUGGUUCUUUAUCAAAAAGAACUGUGAGGCUGUUCCUUGCAGUAUAUAGUCAAAAAAAACUUGUCGAACGAGGAGAAGCUUGCAGGACGGGAGAAGCUUGCGCGCGGUGGCUCGCAGGACAAGGAGAAACUUUUGACUAAUGCAAGCUCUCCCUCGCUCAGGCAGUGGACGUGCAACAGCUAAUUCGGUGUCAGAUUUCCAGAAGCAUACACUAUACUAGUUCUAUUAUUGUUCGACUUCCUGAAGAGGCGAACAGCCAAGCGCAAAGUUUACUAGUACUAGUACUACUACUAUAGUCUAUAGAGGUAUGUACUAUACUACUAGGAACCGGAUGGAGGAGCGUCUGCACUCUUUUAUAUUUUAAAAUGUGAUAAAGCAAUCUUCAACACAUUUGGUUCUCUUCGACGGUUCUUGCAUGUGAUAAUGGAAGUUGAUUGCAUGGAACACUCGCCACAAUUCUCGCUUAAUUCUGGAUCAUAUCCUGUUGCAAAUAGGAGCGCUCGGUAAUAUUUCCUAUUUUUUUGUUAUUCAGCAUGUAAACAUGUCAGCAAACCUUGCGGCACAUCUUUGUGCGAACCGUGCUUGCUGCACUUUGAAUGUGGCCGAGAGCUGGCUUCAUGAAACACCUCGCUUCCUUUUUUUGCGGGGUACCUCGCUUCCUAGUGACCGGUCUCUUGGCUGAUCGUCCUAAGAAUGCUUAUAUAUGAAUAAAGCUCUCUUGUUUACCCACAAAAAAUAUUAAGCAAUAUUAACUGGAAAGGAGGGAGUAUGGACUAGCACUACUUUUUGGUGUGUCCCGUCAACUCGCAAAACGAGGAGAAGCUUGCACGACAAGGUGAAGCUCGCUUACGCCUUUUGACUAAUGUAACCUACCCUCGCCCAGGCGGUGGACAUGCAUCGGUUCAUUCGGUGUCAGAUUGCUAGAGGCAUACACUGUAGUACCCAACAUAUGGAGUACCAUCAUUGUUCGACUUCACGAAGAGGCGAAAAUCCAAGCGCAAGUGAGGGAGUCCCGGAUUAGGGGGUGUCCGGAUAGCCAGACUACCAUCAUCGGCCGAACCAUCAUCAGCCGGACUAUCAUCAUCGACCGGACUACAAGACUAUGAAGAUACAAGAUUGAAGACUUUGUCCCAUGUCCGGAUGGGACUUUCCUUGGCGUGGAAGGAAAGCUUGGCGAUAUGGAUAUGUAGAUCUCCUACCAUUGUAACCGACUCUAUGUAACCCUAGCCCUCUCCGGUGUCUAUAUAAACUGGAUGGCUCUAGUCCGUAGGACACAACAACAACCAUUACAAUCAUACCAUAGGCUAGCUUCUAGGGUUUAGCCUCCUUGAUCUCGUGGUAGAUCCACUCUUGUAAACAUCCACAAUAUCAAUAUCAAUCAAGAAAGACGUAGGGUUUUACCUCCAUCAAGAGGGCCCGAACCUGGGUAAAACAUCGUGUCCCUUGUCUCCUGUUACCAUCCGCCUAGACGCACAGUUCGGGACCCCCUACCUGAGAUCCGCCGGUUUUGACACCGACAUUGGUGCUUUCAUUGAGAGUUCCUCUGUGCCGUCACCGAUAGGAAGGAUGCCUCCUCCCGUCUUCAAGGACGGUAUUUUCGCCAAAGGAGCCUUGGCCGCCGGCCAGACUAUCCGGCUAGGUGGUUUUCUUAUGACCGCCUGUCCGGCCACCGCUUCGACAAUGACCUCUCGAGUCGUCAAAAGCAAUCUUCACGUCAGCUCGGAAUUCGCCAAGCGGCUGGAUCCAAUAGAGCUCUCGUCCGUAAACGAGCUCUUGGAUCGCAUCGCCACCCUGGGAGCCACUACAGACUACAAUCAGAUUGGGCUUAAAACCGAUCUGAGAGAGAUUAACUCUCCCCAGGUCACCACCACGUUGCAGUGGUAGAGGAACAAUGCGGCGACUCUUCUCCUGUAUUGAAAACUAGUCAUGUCCGGGCUCCCGAUCCCCCCCAUGCCGGAUUCCCGCGGAGGGACGGACUUCGAUCAAGCACUGAACUUAAAGUCGGGCAUCGGACCAGACUCGUUGGACAACGUCCAGCAAUCCAAGCUUCCAAAUUUGGAAACUUCUCGGCCUUCGAGCCUUGAGAUGGGUAGGGUUCCGGACUUAAUUCCACCCACCCGCCCAGACAUAUGCGAUCUAUCUCUAAUCCGGCAAGAGCCCGCUGAGACAGUACAUCACUACUGGGCCAGAUUCCUCCUGGUUAUGGAUAGGAUAAAGGACUGCCGAGAGGAAAAUGCAAUCUCAAUUUUUUGCAAUAAUUGCACGGAUGAGGGAAUCUUGAACGCCGUCAGCCGUCGUGAAAUUACACGCUUCGCCGACCUGGCGUCCAUAGUACGAAAGUACUGUGCGAUGGAGAGUUUCCGGACAACCAAAAAUAAGUUUUGGGACAAUCCGGCCCCGAAUACAACCCUAGUCCGCAACAAAAGGGUGCAUUACACUCAGGCACCAGAUACAAAAACCAAAAAGCAAAAAACCCAUAAAGGGCACGGAACCGUACUGGAGGGAUGGCUUAGCGGACCCUGUAAAAUUCACAGUACAGAAGGCGCCGUCCCAACACAUAGCCUUCGAGCAUGUUGGAUAUUACGGCAGGUGGCCAAAAGUGGAGAGGAGCUUCUAGCCCCAGAAAACCAGUCCAACAACAUCGGUACGGUAUCAACAGUCUUCGAGACUUUCGCAUCAAAUAAUAUGCGGAAACGAACAAUCUGCAGCCUCGCCGAAGUCUACCAAGUAGCAACAACCAAUCCAUGGAGCGACACAGCCAUCACCUUCAACGCCAGCGACGAACCUAAAUUCCGAACAGCCCGAGCUCCAGCCGCACUGGUACUUAGUCCGAUAGUGGACGGCUUUCGACUUACAAAAGUCCUCAUGGAUGGUGGCAGCGGAUUAAACCUCAUCUACGAGGAAACCCUUCAAAAAAUGGAAAUAGACUGGAGCCGCAUUGAGCGAAGCAGCACAACCUUUAGAGGAAUAAUCCCUAGCCGGGAGGCGCGCUGCACAGGAAAAAUCACACUCGAUGUGGUAUUCGGCUUGCCGGACAAUUACAGAUCCGAAGAAGUCACGUUCCAAGUGGCCCCGUUCAACAGCGGAUAUCACGCUAUAUUAGGACGAGAGGCAUUCACAAUUUUUCAAGCCGUACCCCAUUACGGGUACAUGAAGCUCAAAAUGCCUGGGCCCGGCGGAAUAAUCACUCUCAUUAGUGAUCCAUACAUAGCACUCCGCGCCGAAAACAAGACAGCCGCAUUAGCCUUAGAGGCACUAUCCGAAGCCCUAACAGCAGAGGAACUCACCACGCUGCGCUCUACGGUGAAUAGGGACGAUGUGAUACUUGAUAAGAGAUCCAAGUCCACCUCCUUUAAACCAGCAGAUGAAAUAGUAAAAUUCCAGGUCCACCCAACGGACCCGACAAAGACGGCCUCCAUCGGGGCACAAUUGAACCCUGAUGUAGACGCCGCACUGCGAGAAUUCCUUCGGGAAAAUUGGGACAUUUUUGCCUGGCACCCCUCGGAUAUGCCCGGAAUCCCACACAGAUUGGCAGAACACAGCCUAAACAUCCUAAAAGGAUUGAAGCCAGUCAAACAGGCUCUUCGACGAUUUUCCGAACCCAAAAGACAGGCAAUGGGAGAAGAGCUAGCCAAACUAUUGGAAGCCGGAUUCAUCAGAGACAUCAAACAUCUGGAUUGGCUAGCAAACAUGGUAAUGGUACCAAAGAAGGACAAAUCCUGGCGCCUAUGUGUCGAUUUCAAAGACCUAAAUAAAGCCUGCCCAAAGGAUCCCUUCCCCCACCCCCGCAUCGACCAAAUCAUCGAUGCCACUGCAGGGCACGAUUCAUUGUGCUUCCUGGACGCAUACUCCGGCUAUCAUCAAAUCAAGAUGGCAGAAGCGGAUCAAGCCGCAACGGCAUUCAUUACUCCAUAUGGACCAUUCUGCUUCAACACGAUGCCCUUCAGACUUAAAAACGCCGGCGCAACAUAUCAGCGCAUGAUUCAGACAUGUCUGGCUACCUAGAUCGGCAAAACAAUAGAGGCAUACGUAGACGACGUAGUCGUCAAAACUAAACACGUCGAAACUCUAGUAGACGACUUGAGGCUCACAUUCAACAACCUCAGAGCAUAUGACAUCAAGCUGAAUCCGAAAAAUGCGUUUUUGGCGUACCAGCUGGAAAGUUGUUGGGCUUCAUCGUAUCCGGUAGAGGAAUUGAAGCAAACCCAGCCAAGAUCCGAGCUCUGUCACAGCUAGAUAUCCCAAAAGACCUCAAGCAAAUACAAAAAUUGACUGGAUGCGUGGCGGCUCUAAGCCGCUUUAUCUCCCGUCUAGGAGAAAAGGCAUUGCCCCUCUAUCGCCUCCUUAGGCACACCGAACACUUUGAAUGGACGGAUGCUGCCACCACCGGACUCGAAGAAAUAAAGGCCAUAUUGGCAACAAAUCCGGUCCUGGCUGCGCCCAACCUGGGCGAACCAAUGUUGUUAUACAUCGCAGCAACGCAUCAAGUUGUAAGCGCGGUACUCGUCGUCGAACGAGAGACAGAAGGGCAUAAAUUCCCUCUUCAAAAACCAGUAUACUACGUAUCCACUGUGUUAACCCCCUGCAAGUCCCGUUACCCGCACUAUCAGAAGAUAGCAUACGCGGUGUUCAUGGCAUCCCGGAAGCUCCGACACUACUUUCAAGAGUGUUCGAUAACAGUGGCCUCUGAAGUACCACUUAACGACAUUAUAAACAACCGCGACGCGACGGGCAGGAUUGCAAAAUGGGCCAUUGAGCUCUUACCAUUUGAUAUAACUUACAAACCUCGGCGAGCUAUAAAGUCACAAGUUUUGGCUGACUUUGUCGCUGAAUGGACCAAAGCCGAACUCCCUAAAGAGUACGACGCAUACUCCAAUUGGAUUAUGCACUUCGACGGCUCUAAAAUGUUAGCCGGAUUGGGGGCUGGCGGCGUAUUGACGUCCCCGACCGGGGACACAGUCCAAUACGUACUUCAGAUAAUGUACACGGACUCCAACAACGCAGCCAAAUUCGAGGCCCUUUUACAUGGUCUCCGGAUGGCAAUCUCCAUGGGCAUUCAAGGCCUAGAGGUGCGCGGGGAUUCAAACCUCGCAAUAUCCCAAAUAAACAGAGACUUUGACGCCAAAGAUCCGAAAAUGGCAGCAUAUCGCAACGCUGUCCUAAAAAUGUCAGCCCGGUUUGAAGGACUUGAAUUCCAUCAUGUAGCCCGGGAUAAUAACCAAGUAGCCGACAUACUGGCACGCAUCGGCGCAAAACGCGACGCUGUCCCUCCUAACAUCUUCUUGGAACGUCUCUUCAAGCCAUCCGUACUAUGGGAAGAGGAUUCCGGAAAUAACAAACCGGAACAAGCCGCACCAAACGGCGAUUCAGCCGACGACAUAACACCUUCAGCCCACGACAUAAUGGCAGUAAUUGCCCCAUGGACAGAACCAUUCCUCGCCUACUUGCUUAGGCAGGAGCUUCCCGAAGACCAAAAUGAGGCCCGCUGCAUUGUCCGGCGAUCUAAAGCCUACAAGGUCUAUGAGGGAAAACUUUAUAAGAAAAGCACAACCGGAGUCCUUCAAAGGUGUAUCUCCGAAGAGGAAGGGCGAAACCUCCUGGCUGAAAUUCAUGCCGGACUAGGCGGACACCAUGCCGCAGCUCGGGCCCUUGUAGGAAAGGCAUUCCGUACAAGAUUUUAUUGGCCGACGGCCCGAACAGAUGCUCAGGACUUAGUCCAAAGAUGCGUCGGUUGUCAGCUCUUUGCUAAUCAGAGCCAUAUGCCACCCACCGCCCUCAAAACUAUACCCAUUACCUGGCCGUUCGCGGUCUGGGGGCUUGACAUGGUUGGACCACUUAAAGGGGGAACCCACAAGCAAAGGUACCUAUUGGUCGUGGUGGAUAAAUUCACCAAAUGGAUAGAGGCCAAGCCAGUUAAAACGGCAGAGUCCGAACCAGUGAUAGACUUUAUAUCCGGGGUAGUACACCGUUAUGGUGUCCCCCACAGCAUCAUCACCGAUAACGGCACGAACUUCACGGCCGAUGAGGUUAAGUCAUGGUGCAAAAAUAUGGGCAUCAAGCUCGAUUACGCUUCAGUCUAUCAUCCUCAAACCAACGGUCAAGUGGAACGAGCAAAUGGUCUAAUAAUGAGCGGCAUCAAACCCAGACUAGUGCGGUCCCUUACGAAAUCUGACACACACUGGGUAGAGGAGCUCGACUCCGUACUCUGGGGGCUGCGGACAACGCCUAACCGUACUACCGGAUUCACACCAUUUUUUAUGGUAUACGAUGCAGAAGCAGUUUUGCCCUGCGACAUAAUUCAUGACUCACCUCGAGUGCGCAUGUACGAAGAAAGAGAAGCCGAGUUGGAUCGGCAGGACAGCUUGGACGCAUUGGAGGAAGAACGCGACGUCGCCAAGGCUCGUUCCGCAUUCUAUCGGCAGCAGGCUCGAAGAUACCAAAGCAGAGAAGUACGGGCCAAGACUUACAACGUUGGCGAACUGGUUCUACGCCUGCCGGACAAGAAAAAGGACAAGCUCAAGCCCAAAUGGGAAGGCCCCUUCAUCAUCGAUCAAGUCCUGACCGGCGGAGCGUACCGUCUACGAAAUGCAUCGGAUAACCGACUCGAGCUGAACCCAUGGAACGCAGCCCACCUCUGAAGAUUCUAUGCCUAGCACCGGACUAAGAGUUCGUCCCUUUCCCCCCGUCCAAAUUUUUUUUACUUCAGCUGCCUUUUGUUUAUCUUUUUCUUCUCAACCUUAUUCAUCCAAGCCUUAAAGGGCCUACUUGCGCAACGUUCGUGCGCAAUUGAUGUUCUAUCCGCACUCAUUAUACCUGGGGGCUUCUUUACCAGAAGCUUAAUUAUAAGGGCUUCAUGCCCAGCACAUGUGUCAAGCCUCCACAUGUACCUUUUAUACACCAUUAUAUGCAUCGAUAUGACUUAAGUUUUGGCCAAGCUGGGUUGCCUGGCUCAUGUGCUUACCCCUACGUUCCCGAUUGUUCGGCUAGGAGGUAAAGGGAUCACCUCUGCGAUUGUUACUGUCGGGUCAGCCGGAUGUGUACCUCAGACUGGGUGAAGCCGAAAGCUAGCGUUCUUAAGGGAAUAUUCGGUCGGUGACUUAAAAGAUGAUUUUUUUUAUCCACUUAUUUAUCUGCCCCCAGAUGUUUUCCUGCUUUUUUCGCAGUCCGGACAUGCACUUUAGGGCAUGCCACCCCCAGAGGAAAGGAACCCUUAACAGAACUAUUCUCCCUGGAAGAUGUUUCUUACUACCCAUGUAAUAUAACAUAACUAGUUGGGCACUUGUCUGAUAAAGCACUAAUGACCCCUACGCCUGGUCUCCAUGCAUACCCCGGUUGUUUCAUAACCGAGAAGGUAUUCGGACACACUCCGGACUCUAGGGUCCCGAGGUCGAAGCGAAAAGGUCGGCAAAGACAAACGAUCUACAAUCCGGCUAGAAGGCAUUUUAUAUGUCAUUUUAUAAUACAUUGUCAAAUCGACUGAUUGUAUUCUUCCUCAAUCCCAUCUAACAGGUUGUCUAAUUUACAGUCCUGUUGGGAAAAUUUAGCGGCCAACUCUACUUGGCCGUAUACUAAACUCACAGGGAUCUCCUUCCCAUCGGGCCCCACAGGUCCGACUUCGGCCAUGUGGUUGGGAUCCGCCUUCUUGUACCGCGUCUUUACCAUGGCCCAGGCCUCCCUGGCACCUUGGCGGCAGGCCGAAAUCUUCCAUAAAUGGAAGCGCUGCCGCACUCCCUGCAGCUUCUCCGCAAGCUCCCCAAGACCCUCGGGUAAGGAGAAGGCUGGCCAUAAAGCCUGGAUGACGCUGCUCAUUGCCUGCCGAACUCGUUCGAUCAGUUGCAACAAUUCAGGAAGUUGAUCACCCAUUGAUACGGGCAUCUCCUCCGCAGGGCGACCUAUGAGCAUACCUGCAGACAUAUUCUGUCAAAUUGACUUCCGCCGAACUCUUCUUUUCAAAGGAGUUCGCUCAAGCACUUACUAUAGAUGUCGCGACGAAGCCGCUGAUUCUCCUUAACGGAGCCCGACAGCUCGGCCCGAACGCCUUUCAGCUCUUCUCCAAGCUGGGCAUGGGCAUCCUGGAGCUUGUUCCUUUCAUGCUGCACCUUAUGCAGCACCCUCUCGCCGGCCUUUAGUUGGCGCAGAAGUUCUUGCCUGUCCGGAUCUUGUCCGGCAGCACCUGCAAUGUCAUUUUUUAGACUUGCGCAAAGGCCAAAUGCUACUUAUCUUUCUAAAAUAAUGCGUUACCAGGAGAGGUCCCUGCAUUUCCUCCUGCGCCAGAGAGUGCGGCCUCAAGUUGGGCCUUGCACUCUUGCAGCUCCUGAGACAGUUGGGUAUUCUUCUCGGUAAGAUCCUACGUUUCAUAUGAUCCUUAAAUCAGUUAAUAUAACUACUUUAAGUCUCGGGGGCUACUGGCAUAUAUAACUAUUAAAUUCUCUUACCCGUAUGUCUUUUACAUACUGCUUCGUGGCUCUGGUAAAACCAUCUUGAGCAGCACGAAGGUGCGCGUCCCCCGCGUUAAAGGCAUUCAACGCCUCGGGGGAGAAGCACGCGUCACUAAAUACUGUCCGGCGGUGCUUGUGAUUCAGGGCACUCUCCACCUCAGACUUGGUGGCGGACAGUCUGUCGGCAUCCUCCGUCGGAGGAACAUCCGGCUCGUGCCUUGCGCUCGCCUCCCCCUUCAGACCAGGUGCUGGAGCCUGGGUGGUAGAGGUUGGAUUGGCAACCUCCACGCCCGCAGUCCGGCGGACGCUUUUUCCCUACAAAAGUCAUGAGCACUCAAACGCUUCCUAGGAACGUUGCUCUAAAUAAUGAAUUGUGAGCUACACCUUUGUGGCGACGUUUCAGUCCGCGCCGCGCUCCUCUUCCGCCUACUGGUCCGGACUGGCCUUUGUUGGUCAGCCACCGCGGGCUCGGCUUCUCGCCCUAGGGGCGCCUCCUGCACAGCGCCAUCAUAUACGGUGGUCAGAAAUAAGCAAGGAAGGAAUGACGGUGUCAGGACUUCGGUCGCAAUCACCUGGGAAGCCGGAUAUAGUCCGGGAUAGUCGGCCGUGAUGGCGACUAAAGCAUUGUCCAUGCUGAGCUGGUGGAACACCCCGUCGAUUAGCUCCACCUUUAUGUCCGGAUCCUCUUCGGAGGCCGGAUCCCGGGAUCUCUUUGGAUCCUCGGGCUGCGGAGCUGGACUUAGCAUGUCCUCCAUGAUCCGGCACAGUUCCUGCGUCGAAAGAAGAACACAAUAUAAGAAACUUAAGUUUCAAAAAGCAUGGGUCAGGCACGCAGAGUGUUCGCUUACCCAAGGCCGGGGAUUAUUCAUGGAGAACCCAUUUAACGGGUUCGUCCGAAGGAAAUCCUCCUUCUCCCCCUUAUACAGGUCGGACAGGAUCGUCACCAGAUCUUCGACCGAAUCCGGCCCUUUGCGGCCAUGACGGGUGGCAUCGUCCUCCCCGUUGAAAUCCCACAUGGGGUGGCCCCUGUAUUGUAGUGGCUGCACCCCCCGCAUAAUGCAUGUUGCCAUGACUCCAAUCAUGGUCAACCCGGCAUGGGCCAGUAACCUUAUUCGGCCCAUCAAAUAAUGGACGCUCUUGUCUUCCUCCAGUUGGGGGCUCCGCGGACGCCAACUAAGGCGUUUCUUCAGAGGAGCAUUGCUGAACUCCGGGAGGCCGAUCCGAACAGGGUCCGGCAGCGGGGUGUCUUCUAUAUAAAACCAUUCCGAAGGCCAGUCUUCGGACGCCUUCUUAGGGGUUCCGGAUGGAUAUCCGGUCCCUGCAAUGCGCCAUAUUUCGGCGCCGCCCACUUGAUAUAUGGACCCCUCGUGAGAGCGGGGUACAAGGCAGAACAACCUCUUCCACAGCGCGAAGUGGGGCUCGACGCCCAGGAAUAGCUCGCAAAGAGCUACGUAACCCGCAAUAUGCAGGAUUGAGGCGGGCGUGAGGUGAUGAAGCUGGAGUCCGUAGAACUCCAGGAGCCCGCGGAGGAUUGGAUGUACAGGAAAUCCGAGCCCCCUUAUCAGAUAGGGGACGAAGCAUACCCGCUCCCCUUUGUUGGGAUUUGGGGUAACCUCCGCUUGCUUCCCACCUUUGUAAGUGGCCAGCCCGGCUCGAACCGGAACCAUGAAGGCCGGAGGGAGAUAUUCCCCCGCUUGGAGCUUUACCAGCUCGUUGUGCGGAACAGAGCAUCUCCUCCAAUCUCCUGGCAAAGGGCUGGGAGCGCGAGAAGAGGAGUCGCGUUGACGGUCCAUGAUGGAAUGGAUUCUUGGUCGAAAGCGCUCCAAUGAGUAUUUGCGGGAGGAAGAUGGUGAUUUGGAUCUGGAUUCUUGCCUCCCUUAUAGGCAGAUUAUUCGCACAACUAGGGGGUAAAACAUAAAAGACACCCUGGCUUUUCACAUUCGCGCGACGCGUGGAAGAAGGCCAUUAUUGGGCGUGGAAGCCAAGACGCGCAACAUUGAUGAGGAAGUCGGACACUGUUCGGCAGGUACGUAGAACUUGAAGGAGAACCUGCCUUGCAACGCCGAAGACUACACACAUGCUGGACUUAUCGUCAUUGAAGCCUGGUUCGGGGGCUACUGAGGGAGUCCCGGAUUACGGGGUGUCCGGAUAGCCAGACUACCAUCAUCGGCCGAACCAUCAUCGGCCGGACUAUCAUCAUCGACCGGACUCCAAGACUAUGAAGAUACAAGAUUGAAGACUUCGUCCCGUGUCCGGAUGGGACUUUCCUUGGCGUGGAAGGCAAGCUUGGCGAUACGGAUAUGUAGAUCUCCUACCAUUGUAACCGACUCUAUGUAACCCUAUCCCUCUCCGGUGUCUAUAUAAACCGGAUGGCUCUAGUCCGUAGGACACAACAACAACCAUUACAAUCAUACCAUAGGCUAGCUUCUAGGGUUUAGCCUCCUUGAUCUCGUGGUAGAUCCACUCUUGUAAACAUCCACAAUAUCAAUAUCAAUCAAGCAGGACGUAGGGCUUUACCUCCAUCAAGAGGGCCCGAACCUGGGUAAAACAUCGUGUCCCUUGUCUCCUGUUACCAUCCGCCUAGACGCACAGUUCGGGACCCCCUACCCGAGAUCCGCCGGUUUUGACACCGACAGCAAGGUUUAGUAGUACAAGUAGUACUACUACUAGAACCACAUGGUGAAGCAUUUGUACUCUUAUUUUAUUUUAAUCUUUGAUAAAGUACACAUUUAUUCGAGAGAAGGGCGGAAAACGGCGGCCCAAUAGUAUAGUAUUAGAAAACAUCAAACAUGUAAUGAUGAUAUCGAUCAACCAUGCUCGAAUAUAUCUUGGCCUCCGUGUGAGCCCGUCUGUGUGUUCUCGAUCCUCGUCUCUCGCAAGGAACGGCGGGUUGUCCAUUUUGUCGUCAAUUCAGACCGCUUUGCUCACACUCCGGUGUCACAUGUCACUGAUAUGCCAAGAGGAGGUGCGUUGACCGAUUAGCCAUGCACGUACUUGGUUUUGCGCCUUCAUACUACUCCUCCCUCCGUUACAGUUUACAGGGAGCGCUUCAUUCUGAUGCAUUUCUCUUAAUGUAUUUCCACCACCAGAGAGACUUUAGACGCGUUUGGUUUAAUGCUCAAUUAAUUAGGGCGUGGUAACCGCAAUCAAGUCCACAAUUUUCUCCCGAUGUACUACGGAGUGGAGUAAGUGCAUGCAUGUAUAUACCCGGGGUGGAAGCACUGCAUGCAUGUGUGUACGUAUUAUUUCCUCUAGUAAUAGACGUCAUGCUAUAACUACCAACACUAUUUUUCAGGCCGAUCGCUAGUCGCCUUGGUCCCAGAGAUUUUUUUUAAAGCAUGCUCUAUAAAAAGUGAUGGAUGGAGUAGUAUGAGCGGAUUCAAAGAAGAGCGUAUUGAUGGUUGCUUCUUCUGAGCAACUUACAGUGGGAAAGGUGGGGCUUAUGAUUUGACAGCUCAUUACCCACUAUUAAUGCGGCGCAACGACCGGGCUGAGUCUCCCAUGCAGUUUUGCACUACUCCCUCAGUUAUUAAAUAUACUCCAGAGGAUUUGUCUUUCUAGAGAUUUCAACAAGUGACUACAUAUGAAGCAAAAUGUGUGAAUCUACACUCUAAAAUAUGCCCAUUUGAAAUUUGUAAAAAUACAAAUAUUGAGGAACGGAGGAGUAUAACUUUGUGCAUGGCACAUGGACCCGGAUGCUGAAGAGGCUUCUGGCAUAGCUAUCAAGCUUCCAACAUUUGUUUACAUAAUUGACGUACUAUAAAAAUAAUUUUCUAGCGACAUGAAAUUGUACAAUGCUCUGAGCUUUCAGCUUUUGUUUCGUGUGUCUUGCCAUCGAUGCUCUUUCGGAAACAAUAAAAAACUAGCUUCCUUGUUAAUGCAUCUCAAUGAUUAGCAUAUCAGAGCUAGGAUUUACAUCACAACUGAAGACAAAGUUGUGAGAAGGUGUUAAAUUAAAAUUGAUCCAUGCUUUCAUUGGUAGCAACGUCCCCCCAUCUCUGUCUAAAUCAACAAUGCAUGUUGGGAAAAAGUAGCUGUCUGGAGCAUGCAACAUUCCGAUCAUUUUGUGCAGUUCCACUAAAAAAGAGCUGAGCAUCCCUCUUCCAAAGAUAUUAAGUGUGAUUAUGAUAAUACAGGACUGCUGAUGAAACAAUAAACACACAAAUAGAUGUCGGUCACCUUUGUAGUCUCUCUUAAGACUAACUAGUUGGAGAAGAUUAGGCUCGGAGUUGGAUGAGGAGGAUAGUGCAAAACUAAUCUCCCUUUGUGCAGUCGCACUGAAAUGUAGAGACGUUGCCCGUGUGACAUUUUAGUACAACUGCACAAAACACUCUUAAGAAAAAAGUGAUUUGUGCAGUUCACCAAAAGGUUGCAAUAGCAACAAGGUGAAAUGGAUAGCCCUAUUUGCAAAAAAGAGGUAGAAAGGAAACAAUUACUGGCCAAUAACAGUUGAUGACACAUGCGACGACAAAAAAGAAGCAUAUUCCUUGUCCUAUGGGAAGAUAACAACACGGUUGUGUUUGUCUAAAAUGGUGUGAGGACGAGAUUGCAAUAUGGAAAGUACACCGGACGAGCUACACUUUGGGAAAAGAACUAUCGAAGAUCCACAUGCAAGGUUUUCCACAUGCAGCGACGUGGGAAGACGGGCGGUGGAGCAAGGCCGAAGGGGUUACCUGGAGGUCGUCGGGGUGUUACUAGGUGAUUGGCGACGGGCGGAUUAUGCCCAUACUGCGGCAGCAAGCAGGUGGCCUAGGGCCCACCGCGCCGGAGCUUGGUCAAAGAGAACGGCGUGUAACGCAGAUCAGGACGUGCUGCCUCAGCACCAUCGAACAGAGAAACGAUGCACAUCCUCCCUUUCCGCCGGCGGACGGGGUGCGACCAGAUCAGUGACCAUUGGUGAGAGAGAGAGAGAGGCCACCAUAGCCUUGUGUGAGAUACUCUGACAAACCCAGGCAGGCAGGCUCCAUUGUAUAUAGUUGAGCGGACUACCUUUUUCUCCAUAAAAAUUGUUUUAUAUUAUGUGUGCGUGCCAUUGAGCGAUAUAACUUUAUUUAAAAGUAGCACGCCAACGCAUCAAGUCAAACUUUGUUUCAUGCACGCGUUGUACAUGACCUCUAUGGGUAAACAACCGCUACAUGCGUUCAAACUAGCACGUGGGCUGCCAUUUCAUACAGAAAUGAGCUCCACCAUGUACACGCGUGGGUGUGGCUGGGCACGAAGCAUGAGUACAUGCACCUAUUCUCUUCUUGUGUACGUACACCACCUACGUGGGUGUGUGUGAGAGAGAUANNNNNNNNNNNNNNNNNNNNNNNNNNNNNNNNNNNNNNNNNNNNNNNNNNNNNNNNNNNNNNNNNNNNNNNNNNNNNNNNNNNNNNNNNNNNNNNNNNNNNNNNNNNNNNNNNNNNNNNNNNNNNNNNNNNNNNNNNNNNNNNNNNNNNNNNNNNNNNNNNNNNNNNNNNNNNNNNNNNNNNNNNNNNNNNNNNNNNNNNNNNNNNNNNNNNNNNNNNNNNNNNNNNNNNNNNNNNNNNNNNNNNNNNNNNNNNNNNNNNNNNNNGUCCUGGAUAUAUCAUAUAUAUAGAGGGGGCGAUCCACGAGAAGAGAGUGGAGGUAUCAUCGGCUUGAGGUAUCCAUAGAAUCGAAGAGAGGAUGAUGUGUGUGUGUGUGCGCACGGGAUCGAUAAAGAGUGCCAUCGAAUUUGUGUGUGCCCACGUCAAAGAUAUAGAGUUGCUGGCUUACUGGAAAAUGAGACGGGACAGGUGCAGUUUGUCUCUGUGUCAUGGAUACCUACCUACAACGCUCGGCUAUUGGUGUGUGGUGGGGGAGGCCUAAUUAACUAUAGAGGUACAAUGGCUGGUAUAUGUGUGGAGGAGGAGAGAGGCCUACCUUAUGUAUUAAGGGAGAUCUAUCGGCAUCCAUGCAUAUGUGUAGGAGAGGAAUGAAGUUGGGAAAGAGACAAAGCUAGAGUGUUGAAGGGGGUGGUAGUGGAGUUGCUUCUAACAAAUGGUGGGAGAGGCUUUCUAGACAAACGGAGGGCACGCCUGCAAUAUCAAUAAGAGAGGGGAUGGCUGCCUGUCUGUGCACGUGCGUGUGUGAGACGAGUCAGGAGGCAUGCACGAAUGAUGAGGGGGGAUGAUAUGGCUAUGGUAAGCAGACGUAACUACAUAGGAAGAUCAAUCGUCCUUUGUCAGAGAAAGGAGAGACAUAACUUGUGAGGUAUGUCGAUCGAUGGGUGGGGGGAAAUAGUUGAAGUCGACCUAGGUAUAUGUUGGGAGAUCAAUUGGUAUACAUGCAUGUAUGUGUUAGAAGCAAAUAAGGCACGGGGAGAAGGAUAGAGAGAGAGGGAUGCAUCUAGGAGGUGGUGCGAGAGACAUACUAUAUCGAGGGGGAAGGAGUGUGCGAGUACGAUAUCGAUGAAAAGAGUGGUGGGAGUGAGGCAUGUACGGUGAUAAGAGAAGAUGGGAAGCUUGUGUUUGUGGUAGGAACACCUGGCUAGAGAGGCAUAUCGAUCGACAUGUGCCGUAAAGAAGGAGCCGAGGGGCCUACACACACCGUGGGUGAACGACCUAAAGUGAAAAGACGAAUUUGCGCGAUGGAGCUAGAGAAUGCCUAGGGAGGGUGAGAGGGAUGCGGGUGUGUGCAUGCACGAGAAAAAGUUAGUGCUAGCUACAAAGAUAAGAGGAUUGUGGGGGUGUAAAAGAUGAAUAGAGAUCAUAAUUCAUUAUAAAAAGCGAAUUCGGAUAUUUGAAGAAUUUAUCAUAGUGUUUUAAACUGACGCAUGCGUGAAUAUAUAUAACGAUGAUACACAUGGUGUGGUUAUGAACAUGUUAUACUACAUAUAAUAUAUUUUAUCUCUACUCUUAUAAAAAACAGAGUUGUUGAUUAUGGUGUGCCUGCCAUCCUGCAAUAUAGGUCGUCUGAUUUAUAUCUGACGGAUAGGAAGGAAACUAUGGCAAUUUUGAAAAAAGAUACCCGCACCCCUCUCCAUACUUGCAAAUAAGGCCUCCCCUUGAUCAUGUUGAUGUUCCGUGGAACGCAUGGGCAUCUUGCUAGUACUACAUAUAAUAUAUAUAACACUGAUUAUAAUUUGGGCUAAUGUGUGGCUUUUGCAGUUCAGGGCUAAAUACUUGUCAUAAUGUAGGGGGCGGGGCACUAUACUUUGUGUGAUAAACACGGUGUACGUAUGGAACAUGGUUUAUAUUAUGAAUAUAUAGUUAGUACAUCAAAUGUACUAUUAUUUGGAAUCAACAUCAAGUGUAUUCAAAAAAUUGAAUUCAAGUUCAUAUAGUACACAUAUUUCAUAUCUAUCUCUAUAGUAAUCAUGUGGUGUGUUGUUAAGGUAAUACACGAAUGAUGGUUGAAGUUGGCAACAAUCAUGAUUGUAGAUUCUUAUUCAAACAGAGAAACGAAUUCAAAUUCAGUUCGAAUUGCAGCAGUAGUAUAAACAUUUGGAAUGCACUAAAAUGUUGGUAUGAGUAGGUUACAUGCAUUAUACAGCCAGUGAAAAAAUUUAAUUGGACAUAACAUGGAUUCAUACUCCCUCCUUCCAUCUAUAUAGGGUGUAGUGCGCUUUUUAAGACCGCCUUUGACUAUUGACAAGAUUAAUAGUACAUGGCAUGCACAAUGUGAAAAUUAUAUCAUUGAAAGCUCCUUUCACAAACAAAUUUAACAGUGUGCUUUUUGUAAGUUGCAUGCCAUGUAUUAUUGCUCUAAUAUUUGGUCAAAGUUAGCAUCGAAAAAUGCAUUAGGCCCUAUAUAGAUGGAAGGAGGGAGUAGCUUUGAAUAGCAUUUGUAUAAUAAAAUGGGACAAGAUUCUCUCUUUGUGUGGUAUGAAUAGUUUUAUUUUUUUCGUUUUUUGGUUGAGGGAAGUGCGAAUUGAUUUUGUACGUACACGUACAAUAUUACACGUUAGGCUUGUCCCUAAAAUUCAACCCACGCCUUGUUAUAUCCCGAAAAUUCAGAUAUCGUGCUCCCAAAACUGGCGCCUUCACAACCCGCGCCUUGCUAUCCCGAAAUUACAACGCGCGCGAACACUCCCUCCAGCUGCCAAAUCCCGACACGUGAAAUCCCCCUUCAAACCCUGAGCCGAAAGGGCUGCUAGUUCAAAUCGGUGGGGGUACCUUUGUAACACACCCUACAUUUUGGACAAGCGCGUCCCUAAGUCAUGGUUCACCCCCUCCCAUUGCCUCCUUUUCACCAUUCAAAAUCCCAGGCCGCCAUAACCUCUCUGUUCCUGCCGCGAAACACCACCCUCCUCCGUCCGCCACCUCACCGAUGCCCAGCCAGAGCCUCUUCCCCAACAACGUCGUCCACCGCAAUAGCUCGACGUCCCUCGUACACCUCCCCAGAUGAGGAUCCGUCGUCCAUCUCAUCGUCCUGCCGGUUCAGCCGCCCUGUCCUCCACCUCCAAGGAGCUGCUCCGACGAUUGCCUCGUCUAUUACGGCUUCUCCAUCCCCACAUCGUCGCCUUAACCUGCUCCACCGGAACCACAACAUCCUCACCGACUCCUCGGACGAAGCCGAGGCCUACUAGGUGCCACCAAAGAGGUUGUACACUCAUCGCAUCGCACCUUCUCCUUAACUCAACCUCUCGGCGCCGACGAUGCUCCAUCGCGCACCCCCAUGGAGCGGCUACCUCGAAGCCGGUGCCGCAUGCGACAUCUCCAUGGCGGCUCUCCCCCAGUGCAAGGCCCCUUCGACGGCGGCAUCCAUACCAGCCGGAUCUGCUACUGCUGCUCCAGCUCUUGCUUGCUCGCUCGUGCUACUGCUGCUGCUCCGGCUCUCGCUCGCUCGUGCAGCUGCAGCUGCUCCAGGUCUCGCUCACGCUGCUGCUGCUCCGGCUCUCGCUCGCUCGCGCUGUUGCUGCUCUCCACCUUGCUCAUGCUGCUGCUAUGCUCCAAUUUAGCUACACUUCAGUCGACUGAAUCAACUUUUGGGUCAAUCGAUUUUCCGGGGGUGGGGGGACUCACUGGAGUUAAGGAAGAACCACUCGCAGCAGGGAGGGAGCUCGCCAGAGAGGUACCCCACUAUCUAUCAUAGGGUGCAGGGUGGGAGUGGGGGGCUAGAGGGCUGGCCGGGGCGGGGCGGCGGCAGACCGGUGGUGGGGAGUUGUUUCGGAACGGCGAGGCGGCACGGGCGCGGGCGGUUCGGCCAGUGGCGGCUGGCGGCUCAGGGGGGGUGCAGGUUGAAGAUGAACUGCAGGCCCUCCCUAAACUACAUGUCAAGUGCCUCACUGCUACCAUUGCAUUCAUUUUCGACAGUAACAUUCAGAUUCCAUUGUAAAUUUUAGUUUUGACAGUUAAGUUCAUAGUCAACAGUUUUUAUCUCAUUCGUUGUAGUCAGGUGGUUUUUGGUGAUGUAAAUUUUACAUCUAUUUUACAUCAUCUAUUGGAGAAGCUAUUAGAAUCCCACUUGAGAUUAACGAUGUCUGUCUUGUGUUGCUUCAACCUUGACAUCUUACGGCUCACCGGAGCUGCUCUAACGAUAGAACGAUCCAUCACAAUAGAGCAGUGCCCUGGACGCCAUCUACAGAUUCCUCAGAUCUUCCUCCACACCUCCGACAGCCACCUCUGCCUCAACUUCUUCAGUGACCAACCCAAUGAUGUUGAGGUCGACAUGGCUACGGCAAAGAGGUUGUACACUUGUUGCAUCACUUAUUACUCUACAUUCAUGUCGAUCCAUUAGGGCUAUUUUGGUUCAACGGAAAAACAUAAUAAUAGGGAAUUUUCCUAUGGCACUCUACUUUUCAAUUAUUCAUGCAUUUUGUUGAAAGUAAUGGAGCAAAACAUCCACCUGGUACUACUUUUCAAAAUCCUAUGCAUGAAAACAAGACCAAGUGCAUUAGUGGCAUAAUAACAUUCUAACUGUACACGCUUUCAUAUGGUUUCACUUUAUUUUGGCCAUGUUUCUUUGCAUUCCUCCGCUCUUCCAAUUCCUGUGAACCAAACACCCAAGUUGACAGAAAUCCUGUGUUUACAAAUGUUAUAUUUACCAUGUGCAUUCCUAUCCUAUUCCGUUGUUUUUCCUAUCCCUGCGUUUUUAGAAUCAUGCAAGCAAAGUGAGGCCUUACAGAAUUACUUCAGUUACAAGUAGGUGUCGAAGAAAACUUUGUGUGGUUUGUCCUGCUCCUGCCGCAACAUCGUCCACCACACCUGAGUUGCUCCAUCGACAGAAGCAUCCACCAAACCAGACAUCACGACUCAUGACCGUCUUUCACCGCCUCAGAUCUCCUUCCCUGCCGCUGGCACCCACCACAAUGGCAUCACUUUUGUUUCUGCUUAUGUUAUGCAUUGCUUAAUAUUACCUGCUACUUUAUUUUCCUGUUCACCUCUUAGACUCCAAGUCAGGUCCAAAUUGAUGUUCAAACUUGAGUUCUAAAUUAGUUGUGGGGCACAUAUCGAGGCAACAAUGAAUAGUAUCUCUAUCUAAUAUCUAGUUCACCUAGGGUAUGCCUAUGUUGUUCAUCUUGGGUGGGAAACAAAUAGUAAAGCAAUAAUCAUCUGUUUUUUUAAAUUAAAGCAAUCAUCAGCCUGCUAUCAUUAUUUUUGGAUCCAUCCACUGGUUGUUACCAUUACUGUAGAUUUAUUCAUGCUCUCCUUACAUAAUCUCACUAUAUUUUUUUGUAUGCAUGUCAGACAUUGUACACAGUCAUGCUGAACAUGUAGAGAAAAAGAGAAUAGUUUUGCGCAGCAAUACAAUGUCAUGCAGACAUCGCUCCAUGGUGGGUUCAAUGAAAAACUCUCCCCCCUCUCCAGAUUGUAAUCCAGAGGAAGAUAUCUGUUCUGAGGCGAAUUCACACGCAGCUGGCCACUCCUAUAUAACCCCAAGGUAUUUGCUCUAACUUGGCAUGAUGAUGUUAGUCAUAUCAUGCAUAUGUUGCCUUGCAGUGCCUACUUUCAACAUCAUAUAUGUCAUCUGCUUAGUUUAGACAUGUUCUGUAAUGCCACCUGUUUAGUUUCAAUAUCAUAUAUGGGAAUUAUGCAGUCUCAUGUCUUUUAGCGAGCCAUAAUAUAUGUGAAAUGUGCAAUGCCAUCCUGUUUAACGAGGCAUCAUAUAUUUGAAUGAUAUCUAUCCCAUCCUUUUCUUCAUUAAAUUUCCAUUUGUUGACAAUGUUUGUACAUUAAACUACUCUUCCUGUGAAUCAGCCAUUUGAGUGGGUGAUGGAAAAAUCUAGAGUGAAAACAAGGCCUUCAAAGCAGACAGCUCUACUUGUCGAAGCAGAUCUCUUGCUGGGUCCCGAUAGCUCCUCAGAGAUGGAUUCAGAGACAGAUGACCAGUCCUAUUCCCCAACCGAGGUGUAUGCUCUAACUUGGCACGGUUCUACUGCUCAUAUCAUGCAUAUGGUGUCUUGCAUUGCAUAGUUUAGACAUCAUAUACAUAAUAUUCAACACUAUGUUCUUAGUUAAGACAUCAUAUAUGUGAAUGCCCUCUUCUUAGCAUAUAAAUCACAUAUGUGAAUUAAAUCAUGCGAUCCUGGUUACUUAGAUAACAUGUAUGUGAAUUAUGUCAUGUGAUCCUGCUUAGUUAGUCAUCAUGUCUUUGAAUUAUGUUAUGCUAUGCUAUCCAGUUUAGAUAGACAUCAUAUAUGUGAAAAUUAUGUCAUGCUAUCCAUUUUAGUUAAACAAUAUACAUGUCAACUAUUUAAUGCCCUCUUUUUUCGACACUAUCAAUUGCAUCUGUCUCUCAUACAAUGUCUGUACAUUCAACUAUGUUUCCUGUUUAUCAGCCAUUUGAAUUGGAGCGGGUGAUGGCAGUAUCUAGCGGAGUAAAAACACGGUCUUCAAAUAAAACAGUGCUACCUCUUGAUGGAGAUAGCACCCCGGUUGUACAUGCAUGAGAACCAGCCCUACCACACAUAACCCAGACUCUCGCAGAUUUUACCCCUACAUCGAUGGACAGAGAACCAGCUUCACCCAAUCUAACCCCAACCCCAACAGAUAUUAACCCAGUUCCUAUUGACACAACACCAUCUCCACCACAGAGCUCCCAAACAAGAGCAGUUGGUAAGGCAGCUCUAGUGCUCAGUACUACCACGACGAACCCCAACUCCACCAGUUAGUACACCUAUUCCUGUGGAGGAAUCACAACCAACCAUUCAUAGUUUAGCAUCUAUCACAUUUAAUGUUGUUAAAUCCUAUGUGUGUAUCUUCCCAUCAUGGAAAUAUUAUACUAAAUAUGAAGGAAAAUGUCAAUUGUAGGUGUUUGUCCAGGAGUUAUGUGUAAGUAAUGUUAUUCAUGGCAAUUACUUUGCUUUGUCCGAUACAUUCGACCUCCAUGAUGGUUAUAAUACAACAAAUUUUCCCAUUUUUCUCUCUAGAUAUGGACCGAUUUGGAAACUCGGGAUGAGGUAACCUGUGCUAAUACCUCUGCUAUCUUCAAGAAUGCUUGGUGGCAGUAUUGGAAUUACCUGAAGAAAACGUACUUCACUGGCAAAGAAACUCAUCAAAUUCCCUUAUGUUCUCCUGAGACACAUUUACUGGACGAUGACUGGGAACACCUUGUUCUUUACUAGUCCCGAACCAAGAAUGUGGUAAGGUCUAUGAGCUCAUUUUAUAAGUACUAUAUGCUUGCAUCUUACUGUACUCUGUUCAUGUAGAACAAGUGCUUAAACCUGAAGAACAACUGUUCUCAUUUAAGAUUCCAUUGCUAUCAUGCAUACUGCUUUGCUCUUGUAUCACUGUACGUAUUUGUACAAACUUAUUUUUAAAUUGAACGAUCCAAUGGAAACUCCAAUGGCACGACAGGUAUGUUUACGCAUGUUUACGCACGACAGGUUUCCUCUUAUAAAUAGCUCUGUUGAUUUCAAUUUCAAUUGUGUAUACAGUUGACUUCUCAUAUCAUGCACAUUACUAGCAUCAUAACAGGGUCAAUAGUGUUGUUGUACAUGUAGACCCGUGGUACCCAUCUGAAAUCUUGGUGUGUCGUGUAGUUUCCCACACUUUGUAUUCUUUCGGUGUUGCUUUCUCUUGAACUGAUAUGAUUUGAACCGUGUCUCUAUUUUGUUUUGGCAAGACAAUGCAGUGACCAUAGGACAUAGAUAUAUGUUUGUUUGAUGCUUUUAUUAUGUACUAGUACUUGGCAAUAGAAGACUUGGUAGUUUAAUUAUGUCCACCUUACUAAUGAACUGGUUCACCGAAAUGAGUUUCAUAUACUAGUACAUGCUAAACUUUCGGCCUUUAAUGGGCCGAGAGUUACAGAGGGCCUCAUAUGGGCCGAAAGACAUCAUGGGCCAUACAUGGGCCGGAAGUUACAAUGGGCUGGAAUCAUAUUGGACGGCCCAGAUGAAGGUACUGGGCUUAAUUUCGAUAGGCCAUAAUGGGCCGGGAGUUAGCGGGCCAGAAAUGGGCUAUAUACGAACAAGUCAUUAACAGGCUUUCCGUGGGCCGGCCCGUUACCUUUUGACCAUGUCAAAUGGGCCGGCCUUUUCACCGGAAUGGGCCUCUGUUGUGUCGUGCCACAUGUCGACGUGUCAUAGGCGCCUCCCUGUCCAAUGAGUGGAUGACAUCUGUCCCAACGGUGAGCCACCACGUGUUUCCUCUGGCGAAUGAGAAUUUUACACGUGGAAAAUCCCCAUUGGUCCGGGCAUUUAACGGGUUAUCGGAUCCAAAACCAGACCCGAUAGCUUAACGACGUCCCGUUACGGUGGAUGCCACGUGUCGGUCACCCUUGACGAAAGCACUUCUGUGACGCGCGAUUUAUCAUCAUGGAAGUGGACACUUCCGUGAUGAUAAUUUUGGUAAUGUCAUGGAACACUUCUACGAUAGCACAAGUAUGACUAUAUUGAUUCUGUCAUAAAAUCGUCAUGGAUGUACAUGCAUGACAAAAAAUGCGACCUACUGUGACAAACACGUAUCAUCACGGAAGUGUAUUUUUUGUAGUGAUUAUACCCCCCUUGCCAAACUCAUGGUAAGGUACACAAUAGGUCUGUACACAACAUGGCAUACUUUAUAGAACCUAUGGCUGAGGCAUAGGGAAUGAAUUUUAUUCUCUCUCUAUCUUAUGUCGUGGUCGGGCUUUGAGUCUUACUCAACUUCACACCUUAUAUCAGAACUCCUUCUUUGAUUGAUCCAUCUUGAACUCCUUCUCAUUCAAAAAUCUUAUCAAGCAUCUUGAUCUAUUUUUAUAAAUCUUAAUGCCUAAUAUAUAAGCAGCUUCACCGAGGUCUUCCACUGAAAAAUUCUUAUUCAAGUAUCCAUUUAUGCUUUCCAGAAAUUCUAUAUCAUUCCAAUCAAUAACAUGUCAUCUACAUAUAAUAUCAAAAAUGCUACAGAGCUUCCACUGACUUUCUUGUAAAUACAUGUUUCACCGUAAGUCUGUAUAAAACCAUAUGCUUUGAUCACCUCAUCAAAGCGUAUAUUCCAACUCCAAGAUUCUUGCACCAGUCCAUAAAUGGAUCGCUGGAGCUUGCACACUUUGUUAACACCUUUAGGAUUGACAAAACCUUCUAGUUGCAUCAUAUACAACUCUUCUUUAAGAUGUCCAUUAAGGAAUGCAGUUUUGACAUCCAUUUGCCAGAUUUCAUAAAAUGCGGCAAUUGCUAACAUGAUUUAGACAGACUUAAGCAUCGCUAUGGGUGAGAAAGUCUCAUCAUAGUCAACUCCUUGAACUUGUCGAAAAAGCUUUUGCAACAAGUCAAGCUUUCUAGACACUAACAUUACCAUCAACGCGAGUCUUCUUUUGGAAGAUCCAUUUAUUCUCUAUGGCUCGCCGAUCAUCGGGCAAGUCAACCAAAGUCCAUACUUUCUUCUCAUACAUGGAUACUAUCUCAUAUUUCAUGGCCUCAAGCCAUUUAUUAGAAUCCGGGCUCAUCAUCGCUUCUUCAUAGUUUGUAGGUUCGUCAUGGUCUAGUAACAUGACUUCCAGAACAGGAUUACCGUACCACUCUGGUGCGGAACAUGCUCUGUUUGACCUAUGAGGUUCAGUAGUAACUUGAUUUGAAGUUUCAUGAUAAUUAUCAUUAGCUUCUACUAUAGUUGGUGUAGGCAUCACGGGAACGGAUUUCUCUAAUGAGCUACUUUCCAAUUCGAGAGAAGGUACAGUUAACUCAUCAAGUUCUACUUUCCUCACACUCACUUAUUUCGAGAAAAACUCCUCCUCUAGAAAUGUUCAAUUCUUGGCAACAAAGGUCUUGCCUUCGGAUCUGCGGUAGAAGGUGUACCCAAUUGUUUCCUUAGGGUAUCCUAUGAAGACACACUUCUUCGAUUUGGGUUCGAGCUUAUCAGGCUGAAGCCUUCUGACAUAAGUCUCGCAACCCCGAACUUUAAGAAACAACAGCUUAGGUUUCUUGUCAAACCAUAGUUCACAUGGUGUCGUCUCAAUGGAUUUAGACGGUGCCCUAUUUAAUUUGAAUGCAGUUGUCUCUAAUGCAUAACUCCAAAAUGACGGUGGUAAAUCGGUAAGGUCAUAGAUCGCACCAUAUCUAAUAAAGUAUGGUUACGACGUUCGGACACACCAUUACAUUGUGGUUUUCCAGGUGGUGUGAGUUGUGAAACUAUUCCACAUUGUUUUUAAUGAAGGCCAAACUCGUAACUCAAAUAUUUGCCUCCGCGAUCAGAUCAUAGAAACUUUAUUUUCAUAUUACGAUGAUUCUCCACUUCACUCUGAAUUUCUUUGAACUUUUCAAAUGUUUCAGACUUGUGUUUCAUUAAGUAGAUAUACCCAUAUCUUCUCAAAUCAUCUAUGAAGGUCAAAAAAUAACGAUACCCGCCGUGAGCCUCAACACUCAUUGGACCGCAUACAUCGAUAUGUAUUAUUUUCAGUAAGUCAUUAGCUUGCUCCAUUGUUCUGAAGAAUAGAGUUUUAGCCAUCUUGCCCACGAGACAUGGUUCGCAAGUAUCAAAUGAUUCAUAAUCAAGUGAUUCCAAAAAUCCAUCUGUAUGGAGUUCUUCAUGCGCUUUACACCAAUAUGACCUAAACGGCAGUGCCACAAAUAUGUUACACUAUCAUUAUCAACUUUGCAUCUUCUGGCAUCAAUAUUAUGAAUAUGUGUAUCACUAGGAUCGAGAUUCAAUAAACCAUUUACAUUGGCUGUAUGACCAUAGAAGGUUUUAUUCAUGUAAACAGAACAACAAUUAUUCGCUAACUUAAAUGAAUAACUGUAUCGCAAUAAACAUGAUCCAAUCAAAUUCAUGCUAAAUGCAAACACCAAAUAACAUUUAUUUAGGUCCAACACUAAUCCCGAAGGUAGAGGUAGUGUGCUAUGGUGAUCUUAUCAGCCUUGGAAUCACUUCCAACACACAUCGUCACCUCGCCCUUAACUAGUCUAUAUUCAUUUUGCUACACCUAUUUUGAGUUACUAAUCUUAGCAACUGAACCGGUAUCAAAUACCAUCAGGUUACUAUGAACACUAGUAAAGUACACAUCAAUAACAUGUAUAUCAAAUAUACCUUUGUUCACUUUUCCAUCCUUCUUAUCCGCCAAGUAUUUGGGGUAGUGAUACGUCUCCAACGUAUCUAUAAUUUUUUAUUGUUCCAUGUUGUUAUAUUAUCAUUCUUGAAUGAUUGUCCUCGGAACCUGAGGGUGUACUUUGACCCUCCCAUGCACCUUCCAGGCCAAUGUUUGAGGUCGGGUUGUUUUGGGCCGGGGGCGACCCCUGGCCGCUAUUCCCGAUUCAGACUACGGGCUCGAGGCUAGCAGGGUGUUCUGGGGGAGGAGCUCGGCCGAGAUCGAAUCUUGGCCUUUGACCUCUGGUUCUGCCUCAAGGCCCGGGGAUAAAUCCUCUGUCGAUGUGAGUUCGGUUGACAAUGGGGUAAGGUCCCCUCUCCCAAGGAGUCCUUCCUCGCUCGAAGCAAUUUGGUGGACUAGGGCCGAUUUGCAGAUCGGAUCGAAGGUGUACGUCGGAGCAGGCACGACAAGGCUUGCGAGGGUGGUGAAUCCGGUGAAAACCAAAUCCCCCCGCGCGUUAGUGACGUACUCCAGAUUGCCGAAUCGAAUCUGGUGUUCGAGACCAAAGUUGUUGACCUGGUCGAGACGGUCGGUCGAAUCAGCGUGCAGCACGAUGCUACCAAAAGCAAAGAGUUGUCCCGGGAUGAAGAGAUCCAUGGAACUGAUGUCCUCUCCAAGGACUAAGCAAGCCAUCGAUACCUUCCAGUGAUCGAAUAGCGGAACUCUCAAUGAAAGCACCAAUGUCGGUGUCAAAACCGGCAGACCUCGGGGUAGGGGGUCCCGAGCUGUGGAUCUAGGAUCGAUGGGUAACAAGGGAUGAUGAACACAGUGUUUACCCAGGUUCGGGCCCUCUCGAAGAGGUAAAACCCUAUGUAGUGCUUGAUUGUAUUGAUUAUAUAACAUGGUUUACAGAGUAGAUCUACCUCGAGAUCAGCAUGAUCAAAACCCUAGGCUACGGGGGAUGAAGAUAGCUCUGCCCCUAAUGACUACAACCCUUGGUUUAUAUAGACACUGAUAGGGUUAGGGUUACCAAAGAUAGAUUACAAUUAGGAAUCAAAUAGAUCCUACGCCUUCUUGACUUGGAGGGCACACCAUGGCUUCAUAGAUCUCCUGUCAUAGCACGGCUCCACCAGUAUGGCCCAUGCACAAUGGGUCGUCGCCCCGAGGACACCUUAGUCCAUGACUCCCUCAACAUGCCUACAUUAUAUUUAUGAACUGGAGCUAGUUUUGUAUUACCCUAGGUUAUGAUUGUUAUAUGAUGAAUAUCAUCCAACCGAUUCACCGAUUCAAUGCCUACGAAUUUUCCACAUAUUGUUCUUGCUAAGUUACUACUGCUAUUGUUACUAUUACAACUACUACAAAAUUAUUGCUAUCACUGUUACCGUUACUGCUACUAUUAUCACUGCUAUCAAAAUUAUCAUAUUACCUGUGCUACUGAUUACUUUGCUGCAGAUACUUAAUCUCCAUGUGUGGUUGAAUUGACAACUCAACUGCUAAUAAUUGCAAAUAUUCUUUGGCUCCCUUUGUGUCGAAUCUAUAUAUUUGGGUUGAAUACUCUACCGUCAAAAACGGUUGUGAUCCCCUGUACUUGUGGGUUAUCAAGACCUUUUUCUGGCGCCGUUGCCAGCAACGGGGAGCAUAGCUAUAUUUGGUGAGUCACUUGGGAUUAUUAUCUAUUUACCACUAUGAAGAAUCAGAAGGUUACCAAGACCAAGAUAGUUCCCUCUAAUACGAGGUGAGGUAAGGAACUACCAUCUAGCUAUGCACUUGAUUCACCUUCUAUUUUGAGUAAACUUGCAACACCACCACAUGCUAUUAAUUCUGAUAUGUCACAACUUAUUGAUGAUGCUUCUGCUAUGGAUAAUUCUUAUGAUGAUGCUAGUAACUUGCUUGAUGAUAAUGUGCCACUAGGUGAAUUUGUUGAUAACACUUGCUAGAGCUAAAGAUAUUGAGAAUGCUGAAACUGAUGAAAUUAUUGAAAAUGAUGAAGUACUUGAAACUGGAAAUCUAGAAACACCUAUUAGACCUAGCUCUCCUAGAUAUGAAUUUCCUAAAAUUACCUGAGGGUUAUGUUAUGGAUGAGGAGACAACUCGAGACUUUCUUGCUUGCAGUGAUAGCAAUGAUCUUAUGAAAUUACUAUGCAAACUGAAAGCUAAAUCUUUGAAUGCUAGAAUCAAAAGUGAUCCUAAGUUUGCUACUUCACCUAUCUUUGUUGAUGAUAAGGAUUAUGAAUUCUCUGUCAACCCAGAGUUAAUUACUUUGGUUGAAUCUGAUCCUUUCCAUGGCUAUGAAACGGAAACUAUUGUGGCACACCUUACGAAAUUAAAUGAUAUAGCCACCCUAUUUACUCAUUAUGAGAAGAUUUGCUUUUAUUAUAUCCUCAAAUUAUUCCAUUCUCAUUAAAGGUUGAUGCUAAGAUAUGGUACAAUACUCUUGCUCCUGGUUGUAUGCAUAGUCCCUAGGAUAUGAUUUAUUACUUCUCUGAAAAACAUUUUCAUGCUCAUAAGAAACAAGCUGCCUUACAGGAAAUAUUUAAAUUUGUGCAAAUCAAAGAAGAGAGUCUCCCACAAGCUUGGCGGAGGCUUCUCCAAUUGCUUAAUGCUUUGCCUGAUCAUCCUCUUAAGAAAAAUGAAUACUUGAUAUCUUCCAUAAUGGAGUAACUGAAGCUUCUAGGGACUUCCUAGAUAGUUGUGCUGGUUGUGUUUUUUAGGGAACAAACUGUUGAACAAGCCGAGGAACUAUUGAGUAAUAUAUUGAAAAAUUAUGAUGAUUGGGCUCUUCCUGAACCACCGCCUAAGCCCACUCCAAAGAAGAGGGGUAUCUAUCUCAGUCCUGAAGAUAUGCAAGAGGCAAAGAAAUCUAUGAAAGAAAAAGGUAUUAAAGCAGAGGAUGGUAAAAACUUAUCUCCUAUUGAAGAAAUACAUGGACUUGACACACUACCACCACAGGUGGUAGAGGUAAAUUAUUUAGUGAAAUUUGAUGAAAGUGACAUCCCUUACAAUAAACAUCCUAGUCAAUGCAUUUAUGAGUUUAACAACUACAUUAGAAAACAAGAUCACUUCAAUGCAAAUGUUAUGAAACAAUUGAAAUACAAUUCUGAUAUGAUUGCUCGCUUGAGUAACUUGUUAUUUAGAAUCACUAAUGAUGUAAGAGGUGUAGGAAAACAUGCUUCUAUGGUUCAUAUCAACUAGAACAAGUUGCUAAAUCUCAAAAAGAUGUGCUUGAUGAAAUGAACAAUAAUAUAAAGGACUUUGUUGUUAGAGUAGCAACUAGAGGAGGUAAAAUGACUCAGGAACCACUUCAUCCUGAGGGACAUCAUAAAAGAAUUGAACAAGACUCUCAAAGAAUUAACGCUGAUGCACCUAGUCCUUCUAAAAAGAAAAAGAAAAAGGGAAAUGAUAGGAUUUUGCAUACCUCUAGUGAACCUAAAGUAGAAAAACCUCCUGAUAAUAAUAAUGAUGUUUCUAUUUCUAAUGCUAAAAUUCAAUCUAGUAAUGAACAUUCAUCUAGUGAUAAUGAAAAACAUAAUGAUGAUGUUCAUGAAGACACUCAACUAGACAAAGAUAAAGAACCAGAUAAUGAUGUUGAAAUAGAACGAGUUGUUGAUCUUGAUAACCCACAACCCAAAAAUAAAAGAUAUGAUAAAAUAGACUUUGUUGCCCAAAAACAUGGAAGGGAAAGAGAACCAUGGGUUCAAAAACCCAUGCCCUUUACACCUAAAUCAACUAAGGAAAAAGAUGAUGAAGAAUUUGAACGCUUUGCUAAAUGAUUUGGCCAGUCAUUUUGCGCACUCGCUUGACUGAUAUUUUAAAUAUGACCCCUUAUGCAAAAUAUAUGAAAGACAUCAUCACUAAUAAAAGGAAAAUACCUGAAGCUGAAAUCUCCACCAUGCUUGCUAAUUAUUCUUUUAAAGAUGGAGUACCUAAAAAACUUUGAGAUCCGGGAAUACCAACUAUACCUUGCUCCAUGAAAAGAAACUAUGUGAAAACUGCUUUGUGUGAUUUAGGAGUUGGUGUUAGUGUUAUGCCUUUAUCCUUAUAUAGAAGACUUGAUUUGAAUAAACUCACACCUACUGAAGUAGUUUUGCAAAUGGCUGACAUAUCAACAGCCAUACCUAUCGGUAUUUGUGAGGAUGUGCCCGUUGUUGUUGCAAAUGUUAUUAUCUUAACUUACUUUGUUAUACUUGAGAUGCCUAAGGACGACAACAUGUCUAUUAUCCUUGGUAGACCCUUCUUGAAUACUGCAGGGGCUAUUAUUGAUUGCAAUAAAAGCAAGGUCACUUUUCAUAUCAAUGGUAAUGAGCAUACGGUGCACUUUCCGAAGAAACAAUUCCAAGUGAAUGGUAUUAAUGUUAUUGAAAUAUAAACGACACUCACUAUUGGAAGUUUUCAACCACCCCUACCUACUGCCAAAAAGAAAAUUGAAAUGCUUAUUGUUGGGGACAUGCAUAUCCCCAUUGAGGUAACUUAGUGUUAUACGAAAGUUUUUUUGGUUUCAUGCUAAUCGAAGGUUGGUUGUUAAUAAGACUUGAUCAACCUUAUUAAUGGCUCAUUUUUUAGAGGUGUGAAGUUGAUGAAUUUAGUAGGCACUGCCUUUUAUCCUUAUCUAUUGUUCUCUGUUUUUCUUAGUUAAAUAAAAUAAAAUGCCAUGUAUUGUCUGUUUUCUGAAUUUCUCGUGCAAUAAAAAAAUGACCCAAAAAUAAGAGUUCUCAGAAUGCCCUGAAAAUUUAAUGCAAUUUUAUCUGAAUAUUUCUGAAUUUUUAGUGCAAAUAACAUCAGGGGGUGCACCAGGUGAGCACAACCCACAUGGGCGCGCCAGCAACCCCACGCGCACCCUGGUGGGUUGUGGUCCCCAUGUGGGCCCCCUCACUUAUUUCUUUAGCCCAUGUCAUCUCCUACCUCCAGAAAAAAAUCACCAUUGCUCUCUUUCUCUCUCUCCUGUUCUUGCUCUCAAACCCACGGAUUUUGAUCUCUUUGCUCGAAGAUCCCUUUUCGAAACUGUUUUGGCGGAUUGCUUCUUGGUAUGUGACUCCUCCAUUGCUCCAAUUAGUUUUUGCUGUAGUGGAUUAUAUUUUGAAUAAUUAGCUACUAUUGGUGUUGUUGUAGAAGAGCUUGCAUGUCGAAUUCUUAGAGUGCUAAGUAGUUUGAAUGCUUGAUAUGGUCUCUCUGCAUCCUUAUGAGUAGUUGCUAUCAAUCUUGUGAAGUUUUGUUAACAAAAAUUUUGUGGACUAAAAAUUUUAGAAUUUUAUUUAUAGGAAUAAGAUGAGUUUCUUUAGGAAGUUUGCCGCCAAGAAAAAUGCUAAGGGAGUCAUUGGGCAAUCACCGUACAAUGACCUCCAAACUCGGAGAAGGGCGGAGGUGCGGCCGUGCGAAUGGCCGCAUAAUCCCUUCAUGGAUGGAGUCGGAAUCCGUCAAGAGUUCACGCAAUUUUCUGCUAAUGCUGGGAUCACCGACUUCAUCGCAAUUGAGGGCGGAUAUAGGAUUAUGCCAGAUGACAUCAUCACCUACCGGAAUGCCCAGGCAGUGGUAGAGGGGAGCCCCAGGAGUGGGAUUCUCAAGUGCCGCCGUGGCAGCACUUUGACAUGGGACCAGAUGGCUACUACAGAUGGUGAUUACCAAGCUAGGCCAAAAGCCUAAGCUUGGGGGAGUACAUAUUUCCACCGACAUUACAUUCAUGUUCACACAUUUCAUUCUAGUUGUCGGUGUUCACAAUUCUUCAUUGUAUUAUCCAUGCUAGAUUUAUUUUCUCGCUUUCUUCUUGUGUGUUUGAAAAACUUAGAGAAAACCCAAAAAUAUUUCUUGUUUCUCUUCGGUCUUUCUAGUUUAAUUAGUUGUGGUAUUAAAAGAAAACCCAAAAAGAUCUCCUGAUUCUUCUUUUGCUUGUUGGGAGCUUUCCCGUGUAAAUAGUUUUCUCAUUUUGUUUUUGUUUAAUUUGCUUUCUUCUAGAAAAAACUAAAACUCCAAAAAUAUUUCAGUGUUUUUCUCGGAAAUUCUUUUCUGUUUAUUGAGUCAUAUCGAGGAAAGACCACGAUGAAAAUGUUGAGUGGCUCUCAUAUGCAUUAUUGUUGAUCUAACAAAGAUCCCACAUUGCUUUGUCUUCUCCUUUUGAAUAAAAUGUUUCUAGAUUCCAGCUUAGUUCAUGGCACUCUUGCACUAUUAUUAUUUUCAUAUCAUUCGGUCAUGCAAGUGAAAGGCAAUAAUGAUGAUAUUUGAUGAACUAGUUGUGGAAGAGAGAAACGGGUAUGAACUCGACUUGUUCUAUUUUUUAAAAUAUGCUCAACCUAGUAUCCAUGAUUUAGCAUAUUAUGAUCAAACAUGUUUGUAAUGACAAUUAUAGAUUGUAGUUUCUCAUGCCAUGCUUAAGUAGCUAGGAGUGGAUAAUGAUUUAUCUUGGGUGUCGACAUUGCGUGAAAAUGAUUGUGAUGUAGUAUGAUGAUAUGGUAUCGUCCUCUGAAUGUUUCGAGUGGCUUGACUUGGCACAUGUUCAUGCAUGUAGUUGAAUAAAAACAGCCUCUAUGAUAUUUAUGUUCAUGGUGUUCAUAUCCUACUCAUGCUAGUAUCCAAUAUUCAUUAUGCAUAAUGCGUGUUCAUGACUGUUUUCGCUCUCUAGUUGGCCGCUUCCCAACCUAUUUGCUAGCCUUCGCCUGUACUAAGUGGGAAUACUGCUUGUGCAUCAAAAUCCUAAAACCCAAGUUAUUCUAGAUGAUUCCACCAUAUCUACCUAUAUACGGUAUUACCAUGCUGUUCCACGUAAAUUUGCAUGUGCCACCUCUAAAAACUUCAAAUAAAUUUCUGUUUUUGUGUGCAUGUAUUGUUCAUAGAGCGACAGGGGGUAGUCAGUAUCUUCCAUGCUAAGCGGGCUAUUCUCAUUAUGAGUGUUUAUUCACUCGUCUUUGCACGAGCGGGGCGGUAAUAGGGAUUGCCAGUCCCAAAAUCAAAAAGUGCAAAUAAUUAAACAAAUAUCCCCCAGGAUUGUUGUUGGUAUGGACGGUACCCGUGGAUUCGGCUAGCCAUGGAGUGUGAUUGUUGGUGGAUGGGGAGUAAACCUUUUACUUUUAUCGCUUGGGAACCGCCACUAAUGUGUUUAGCAUGGAAGAUAUUGAUAACUUUCGGUCAUGACGUAAGCAGGAAGGGUGCAUUUCACAAAAUUUCAUUUACAUUUGUUUUAAAAUCUGAGCUCUGGCAUCACUGCAAAUCCCUGCUUCCCUCUGCGAAGGGACAAUCUAUUUACUUUUAUGUUGAAUCAUCACCUUCUCAAAUAAGCUCCAGAUUCUGAGAGCACUAUUGUCAUCCUCAUGCAUUAUGUAUAGUUAAUGUUGGAUGCAUCAUGACUGGAUCUUUUCUACCAUGAAUUACAAUGUUUAUUCGCUGCUUCAACUUUGGAGGUGCUCUGCAUUUAUGUUUUGGUCUCAAAAAGGGCUAGCGAGAUACCACUGUUGUCAUAUUAUAUCAUGAUUGUUUUGACAAUGUGUUGGAAUUUGAGAUAUCUUAUAUAUUAUUGGUCGCUAGUUGAUUAUGCCAUUGAUAAGAGUUAAUAUAAUUUUUAAGAGUUAUUGCUGACAUGGUUAGUCAUGAUCUUUGUUGAAAGCAUAGGUGCUACUUAAGCUUAUUUAUGUAAACAAGAGCAAAAGAGUUCGUAAAAGUUUUUCUUUUUCAAUUUCAGUUUGUCAACUGAAUUGAUUAAGGACAAGCAAGGGUUUAAGAUUGGGGGAGUUUAUACGUCUCCAUUGUAUCUACUUUCCCUAAUGCGUUUCCUCUUGUUUAGGACUCUAAUUUGCAUGAUUCGAAUGAAACUAACACGGACUGGCAUUGUUUUCAGCAGAACUACCAUGGUGUUGUUUUGUGUAGAAAUAAAAGUUCUCGGAAUGGAACAAAACUUUUUGGAUAUUUAUUAUAAAAGAAAAAUACUGGAGCCAAGAACCAACGGAGGGGGGGCCUGGGUGAGCACAACCCACCAGGGCGCCCCCCCCCCCUCCGGGCAAGCCCCCUGGUGGCCCCACAGACCCUAUCUCCGACUCCUUAAAUACCCUUAUUUGGAGAGAAAAAUCAAGGAGGAAGAAUUAUCUCAUUUCACGAUACGGAGCCGUCGCCACCUCAUGUACUUCAUCGGGAGGCCGUAUCCGGAGUUCGUUCAGGGCUCCAGAGAGGGGGAUCUUUGAUCUUCGUCAUCACCAACCCUUCUUCAUCGCCAAUUCCAUGAUGCUCCCCACCGGGAGUGAGUAAUUCCUUCAUAGGUUCACUGGUCGGUAAGGAGUUGGAUGAGAUUCAUCAUGUAAUCGAGUGAGUUUUGUUAUGGCUUGAUCCUUAAUAUCCACUAUGUUUUGAGAUUGAUAUUGUUAUGACUUUGCUAUGCUUAAUGCUUGUCACUAGGGACCGAGUGCCAUGAUUUCAGAUCUGGACCAUUUAUAUUUUCAUCAUUAUAUCUAUGUUCUAGAUCCAAUCUUGCAAGUCAUAUUCACUUAUUACGUGUUAUGAUCCGUAAACCCCGGAGUGACAAUAGUCGGCCUACUUUCCGGUGAUGACCGUAGUUUGAGGAGUUCAUGUAUUCACUAUGUUGUGUUAAUGCUUUGUUCCAGUUCUCUAUUAAAAGGAGGCCUUAAUAUCCCUUAGUUUCCUUAUGGACCCCGCUGCCAUGGGAGGGUAGGACAAAAGAUGUCAUGCAAUUUCUUUCCAUAAGCAUGUAUGACUAUUUACGGAAUACAUGCCUACAUUAUCUUUAUGAACUGGAGCUAGUUUUGUAUUGCCCCAGGUUAUGACUGUUAUAUGAUGAAUAUCAUCCAGUGCAUUCACUGAUCCAAUGCCUAAGAAUUUUCCACAUAUUGUUCUUGCUAAGUUAGUACUGCUAUUGUUACUGAUACAACUGCUACAAAAUUAUUGCUAUCAACUAUUACUGUUACUGCUACUAUUAUCACUGAUAUCAAAAUUAUCAUAUUACCGUGCUACUGAUUACUUUGCUGCAGAUACUUAAUCUUCGGGUGUGGUUGAAUUGAUAACUCAACUGCUAAUACUUGCAAAUAUUCUUUGGCUCCCCUUGUGUCAAAUCUAUAAAUUUGGGUUGAAUACUCUACCCUCAGAAACUGUUGUGAUCCCCUAUACUUGUGGGUUAUCAUCAUUCGGUGGCUCCGAGUUGCUAGGGUUUCACUGAAAUUUUACUAUCGGUCUCCUGAUUAGUACGUUUCGGUGGAACUGAGCUGUACUUGUGCAAUAGCCAGGGCCAAAUCAGUGGGACCGAAAAUUCCUAUUCGCUCGGUCCAAGAUGCAUCGUCGGAAACCUAAACCCAAUUUUUUGCACAAAUUUAUCCUAAUGAACUAAUCUGGUGGAUAGAAGUAUUGCAACCGUGGCAAGAUAUAUGGCAAAAUCCUUGUGCAUUGAAUCAGAUAUAAAGAGGCACGAGGAGAUCGAAUCUCAUUCUAACUUGAUGGAGAUCCUCUACAGCGGCAACAGCGAGGAAGAUUGCCAUUGACAGUGGCGGAUUCCUGUGGUGAAGGCGCACAGGAGACGAUGGCGACGAUCCAGAGACCAAGGGGGCGACAGCAAUGGGGUGCGGGGUUGUAGAGUUUGAAGUGAUUUUCAAUGUAUGUCGCAUGAAGUAUAUAUACAUGUAUGCUACCGGUGGCACCGAGUGGAACAAGUCGGUGGCACUGAGAUGUGCAACUGCGUGCAAUUACAGCAAAUCGGUGUGACCAAGUUGGUCUAAUCAGUAGCGCCGAGAUGAAAACCUAGAUCAGUCUUUAUGAUUUUGGUUCGACCGAGUUUGAGUGUAUUGGUCUGACCGAAAUGCAUGAAGAGGGUUUCGGAGGUCAGCCCUUGAUGGAUCGGUGACUCCGAGUUCUCCUCACCCGGAGGGUCCAUAAAGAACUUGUUCAAUUUUUGUGAUAUAGCAUAAAAAGUAUUUGAGACAAGAAGAGCAUAGAUAGCAAGAGGAGGUUCUUAGUCAUUCUUGUACAUCCACUUGGCUAACAAAAACCAAGACAAUCAAACCAACAAAUGGAUGUCCUCCAAUGAAGAAAAUAUGCAACCAACAUGUUCACAUAAUAAAAUAUCAAAUGAAAUAUGAGCCAAACAUGCACAACCAAUUCUAGCAUCUAUCAAGCAAUUGACGAUGACUAGGUCAUCUAUAUAUGAGUAUAUUGACUUAGGAGUCAAAUGAGAACAUUUGAUCAUAGGUCAUACUCAUCGUUUAAGCACAAAUGGGGUUACCACUUUUACAUAAAGCAUUAAUGUGUUCACACCAUUACAGUUUCUUUAGCUCAAUUUUUAGAGCAAACCUCCUCCUAGAUGUGAUAUCCCCCAAAAGAGGGAUGAACUAACCUUGGGUUUUGUCGAUGAUGACUUCAUGUAGAUAGUGAAGAUGUGGAUGCUCAAUGUUGAUGUAGAUCAUUUGGAACAAGCCUUUGGAAUGUGUUGCACUUUCAAUACCUACAUGGGUUAGUCCCACAAGGAACACACAAGGAUAUCCAUAGACAUAGAGUGAAUUACACAUAUGAUGAUGUCCAUGAAAGCAUUAGGUUACCUUAUCCCUUGUAUUACCAACAAGAGGGUUUGUGACUCCAUGAACUAGUGCAAGAUAUGAAAGUUGAUUGCACAAGUCCUCGCCAUUAUGAAUGUGAGUGAAGUAUGUUGGCAGAGUCACCCUCAAGAACACUCUAGUUCUUCUUCUUUGGGACCCACAUCAACUUGAUGGGAAUCCUUGGAGUUGGAGUUGUACUUGAUGAAGUAGAGCUUGACGUACUCUUCGGAACCCACUUGACCAUGGCCUUAGGAGCUUCUUCAAAUGAGUCAAUCUCUUCUUGAAGCUUGUCCUUGACUUUUAACUUGUGGUCUUGUGGUGGAAGAUCAUCUUGCGUUUGUGUUCCCUCAAAAUAAGUGGGGUCAUACUUCUUUUGUUGAUGAACAAACUUUUUAUUGGGGUAUUGAUCUUCUUCCCAUUCAACUCCAUUGGAACUGAACUUUCGAUCAAAACCAACACCUUGAUUCUUCCGGUGUCUUCCUAGCUUGCAUACAAUUUCCUCAAAUUGCUUACUCCCAUCAAUACUCUUGUAAACACCUUUCUCUAUAAUUCCCUUUAAUAAGCUAUUUUCUUGCACAAGUGUAACUUGGCUAAGAAAAACAUUAGUGGGAUCAAGAGAACUACUAGAAGCAACAAUAUUGGAUUUAGCAUGCUUAUUAUUACUCCUAGAAGAAGAAUCUUUCUUGCUCUUGUUACUAGAUUUUACUUGUGGCAUAUAAGUAGAGAAGAGGAGACAUUUGGCAAGGUAAGAAGAACUCUUCUUUCGAAGAUCAUCAUUGAUAGCCUUUAGGAACUCAUGCUCUUGCUCUAAAUUUAGCUUCUCGAAGCAUAGCUUCUCAUGAGUCCCUAGGAGCUCUCUAUGAUCCUCUUGAGUUGUUUCAUGAGCUAACUUAAUAGUGUUUAAUUCUUUAGUUAGACGCUCAAUCUCCUUCUUGUCAUUGUCAUUCGUUUCAUCUUGAUUAGCAUGAUUACUAGCAAGUUCAUCAUAGUUUUCAUUACUAGUUUUGUCAACAAGUAAAUCGUCAUCAUCUAGAAAAUCGCCUUCAUCACUAUCAAAAUCAAGAUACUCAGGGUGUGAUACCUUGGGGCCUUUAGCCAUGAAGCAUCUUCCAAUUCCUUCAUUUGGUGAAUCAAAUAUGUCAUGGGACUUGGAUGACACUAGUGCAAGACCGGCAACACCUUCAUCUUGAGUACAUUCAAAGUCGGAGUGAUAGCUUCUCCUAGAGUAGUUGUGAGAGUCGGAACCAGAAACCCACUCACCAACAUGAGCUUGAUAUCUUCGUCUUAUGUAUCUCUUUGAUGACUUGUCCUUCCUUCCCGAAUCUUUGCUUCUUCGAGAGGGUCUUCGUUCAUAGCGAUCAUCUAUAUUCCUUCUCUAUCUUGGAGGUGAUUCAUCUCUUCUACUUAUCAUUUUUGGUGAGUAUUCUCUUUUCUUGUAGGGAGCCAUACACUCAUUUGAGUAGUGUCUGGGUCUUCCACAAUUGUAGCAAUUACGAUCACGACUAGAAGAUCUUUUGUCAUUGUAGGACCUUGACUUAGAGCUUCUCUCUUUGCUUCUAAUCUUUUAGAACUUGUUUAAGUUCUUCACCAUUAAGCUUAAUUCUUCAUUGGAGACUUGCUUUUCACUCGAUGUUGUAGGAGCAUCACUUGAAGCUUUGUAAGCACCACUUGACUUAUUGUGGAGCUCUUCCUUAUCCUUGAGUGACCUCUCAUGAGCAAUAAUUCUACCAAUGACUUCCAUGGGCUUGAGAUCAUUGUAAUUGGGCAUCAUUUGGACCAACGUGCACAUAGUAUCAUAUUUUCCAUCCAAGGCUCUAAGGAUCUUCUUGAUGAUGAAUUUGUCGAUCAUCUAUUCACUUCCUAAACUGACGAUCUCAUUUGUGAUGAGUGCAAGCCUAGAGUACAUUUCGGCGAAUCCUUCACCAUCCUUCAUUUUCAACUUGUCAUUUUGACUUUGAAGCACAUCCAACUUGGAUUCCUUGAUUGACUCUGUACCUUCAUGCAUAUCAACCAAAGUAUCCCUAAUUUCCUUUGCAUUCUCAAGGCGGCUUGUUUUGUUGAAUUCUUCGGGGCACAAUCCAUUGAAGAGAAUAUCACAAGCUUGAGCAUUGUAUUGCAACAUCUUCAAUUCUUCCGCAGUUACUUCACGAUCUGGUUCUUUACCAUCCUCAGAGAAUUCACCUUGCAAGCCAACACACACAACAGCCCAAACGGCGGGGUUAUGACCAAGAAUAUGCAUUUUCAUCGUAUGCUUCCAACUAGCAAAAUUUGUACCAUCAAAAUAGGGAUCUCUACGGUGAUAGUUACCCUUGCUAGACGUCAUACUCUCCUAGGUUGUGAAACCAAGGCUAUGAUCACUAAAGAUAUGGAAAUAAAGGCUAAUGGAGACCAAAGCUCUGAUAUCACUUGUAGGAUCAAAAGUAUGUCUAGAGGGGGGUGAUUAGACUACUUAACCAAAUAAAAUCUUUCCUUUUCCUAAUUUUAGUUGUGGGCAGAUUUUAGCAAUUAUGACAAGUCAAGCAAUCAACCUACACAUGCAAUUCUAAGAGUAUAGCAGCGUAAUGUAAAACAUGGCAUAUGAACCUAAAGGAAAGGGUUUGGAGAAGGAAAAUGCAAUGGAGACACAAUGAUUUUUGGUGUGGUUCCGAUAGGUGGUGCUACCGUACAUCCACUUUGAUGAAGACUUCAACGCACGAAGGGUAACGGCUGCGCGAGUCCACGGAGGACUCCACCCACGAAAGGUCCACGAAGAAGCAACCUUGUCUAUCCCACCAUGGCCAUCGUCCAUGAUGGACUUGCCUCACUCGGGUAGAUCUUCACGAAGUAGGUGAUCUCCUUGCCCUUACAAACUUCUUGGUUCAACUCCACAUCAUGUCAGAGGCUCCCAAGCGACACCUAACCAAUCUAGGAGACACCACUCUCCAAAAGGUAAUAGAUGGUGUUUUGAUGAUGAACUCCUUGCUCUUGUGCUUCAAAUGAUAGUCUCCCCAACACUCAACUCCCUCUCUCACAGAUUUGGCUAUGGUGGAAGAAGGAUUUGAGUGGAAAACAACUUGGGGAAGGCUAGAAAUCAAGGUUCAAAUGGUAGGAGUGGAAUCUCUUGAUCUCAACACAUGAGUAGGUGGUUCUCUCUUAGAAAAUGAAUGGUGGAGGUGUAUGCACGUUCUGAUGGCUCUCCUUCAUAAGGAAGAAGGGGUGGAGGGGUAUAUAUAGCCUCCAAACAAAAUCUAACUGUUACACACUUUUGACUCAUCUCGGUGGCACCAAUUAGGAAACUCAUGGCACCGAUCUGUUCAAAAAUACGAACAUUAGGAAUCUCGAUGGGACCGAUGGGAACAACUCGGUGGGACCGAUGUGCUAGGGCUUAGGCAAACAUCUUCUCGAUGGCACCGAUUGCAUAAACUCGGUGAGACCGAAGUGAAGCAAUAAGGCAACAGAGAGUUGGCAAGCCAUCUCGGUGAGACCGAAAUAAUUGCAACAAGUAACAGAAAGUUGGCAAGGCCAUCUUGGUAGGACCGAGAUCCAUAUCGGUGUGACCGAAUCAUUAGGGUUUUGGCUGUAGCUAUGUCUUAGUGAACUCGGUGGCGCCAAACCAAAUCGUUAGGGUUUUGACAUAUUUGGAUAGAGAAAGUGGAUGAGGGUUUUGGAGCAAUAUCACUAAGCACGUUGAGCAAGUAGACCAUUAGGCAACACCUCAUCCCGUUUUAAUAGUAUUGCUUUCCUAUGGACUCAGUGUGAUCUUGGAUCACUUAAACAAAAAUGAAGAGUCUUGAGCUUUUGCCAAUCCUUGUCCUUAGCAUUUAGAGCAGUCCACAUCUCUAUGUCAUGCCAUGCCAUACAUUGAACAUCCUGAAACAUUUAUCUUGAAUGGAUAUUAGUUCAGUGAGAUAUAUGUUGUUAUGAAUUACCAAAACCACCUGGGGAUUAGUUGCACUUUCAUAUAGGACAAGACGGAUUGCAAUCAAUAUCAAGAACAAUAAAAUCUAUGGGCACAUAGUUCCUAUUUGUAAGAAUAAGGACAUCAUUAAUUCUUCUCAAAGGCUUUUUAAUAGUAAAAUCUGCCAAGUGCAAAUUAAGAGAACAUUCUUCCAACUUGGUGAAACCUAGUACAUCACAUAGAGAUUUCGGAAUUGUGGAAACACUAGCACCCAAAUCACAUAAAGCAUUGCACUCAUAAUUUUUGAUCUUGAAUUUAAUGGUGAGUUCCCAUUCAUCAUAUAAUUUUCUAGGAAUUAAAAUUUCUAAUUCUAACUUUUAUUCUAAAGCUGUCAUCAUCGUUUCUACAAUAUGUUUAGUAAAAGCUUUAUUUUGUUCAUAUGCAUUGGGUGAAUUUAUCAUGGAUUGUAACAAAGAAAUACACUCAAUCAAAGAGAAACUAUCAUAAUUAAAAUCUUUGUAAUCCAAAAGAGUGGGCACAUCACUAGUUAAAGUUUUUACCUCUCCAAACCCACUUUUAUCAAAAUUUUCAACAAUAUUUUCACCCUCCGAAUUAUGAGGAAUCCUUCUAGUUAAAGUUGACCCUUCUUCAGUCCUCUUAUCAUCAAUUUUAAUAUUACUAAACAAGGAUUCGAUAGAAGAAACACCAAUCAUCUUAACAUCUUCAUUGUUACUACGAAAAAACAGCCGGAAUCGCUUUUUCUAAAAAUUCUCUUUUGGCUCUUAGCGUAGAGGUUCCCUUUUUACUCUCAUCAAUGGAAAAAUAUAUAACCUUAAUUGAUUCAUUGACAUCAACCUUGGGUGGAAAAUUUUUAAUCUUGAGAUUUUUCUACAUCAUGCGUAAUUCUACCAAUACUCCUAGACAUAUCAUCAAUCUUAUUCAAUUUUUCUUCUAUCAUAGUGUUGGAAACUUUUAGAGCAUUAGUAAAUUCUUUAGUAUGACUCUCAAGAUCAGAGGGUGUCCUAUUAUUGUUAUUAUAAGAAUUAUCAUAGCAAUUGUCAUGAUUAUUAGAGGAAUUUCAAGGAAAAGGCCUAGGAUUAAGAUUACCUCUAUAAGCAUUGUUAUUAAAAUUGUUUUGCGAGAAAAAAUUCACAUCUACGGGAUCACUAUUUUUCUCAAUCAAAGUAGACAAAGGCACAUCAUUAAGAUCAAUAGGAGCAUUUUCACUAGCAACCAAUUUCAUAAGUGCAUCAACUUUUUCACUCAGAGUACUAAUUUCUUCAAUAGAAUUAACCUUUUUACUAGUAGGUGCUCUUUCGGUAUGCCAUUGCAAAUAAUCUUGCAACCCAAAACGUAAGAGAGGUUGUCAAUCCCUCCACGGUAUUGUGAUAGAUUAAAUUGUAUAGGUUUUGGUAAAUAGAUCUAGCAAAAAUAAAUAAAUAAAAAUCGUAGCAAGGUAUUUUUGGUUUAAUAUGAUAGGAAAUAGACCCAGGGGCCAUAGUUUUCACUAGAGGCUUCUCUCAAGAAAAUAGCAUACGGUGGGUAAACAAUUAUUGUUGGGCAAUUAACAAAAAAGAAAAUAAUUAUGACGACAUCCAAGGCAAUGAUCAUGUAUAUACGCAUCACGUCCAAGAUUAGUAGAUCGACUCCUGCCUGCAUCUACUACUAUUACUCCACACAUCGACCGCUAUCCAGCAUGCAUCUAGUGUAUUAAGUUCAUGGAAAAAUGAAGUAAUGCAAUAAGUAUGAUGACAUGAUGUAGACAAGAUAAACUCACGUAUGAAUAAACCCAAUCUUGUUACCCUUAAUAGCAAUGAUACAUGCGUGUUAUGUCUCUUUCUCUCACUGAGAUUGAGCACCGCAAGAUCAAACCCAUCACAAAGCACCUCUUCCCAUGGCAAGAAAUAUCAAUAUAGUUGGCCAAACCAAACCAAAAUUUCGGAGAAGAAAUACGAGGCAAUAACAAUCAUGCACAUAAGAGUUCAAAGAAGACUCAAAUAAUAUUCAUAGAUAGAUCUGAUCAUAAACUCACAAUUCAUCGGAUCCCAACAAACACCGCAAAAAAGAGUUACAUCAAAUAGAUCUUGAAGAACAUUGAGGAAACAUUGUAUUGAAGAUCAAAAAGAGAGAAGAAGCUAUCCAGCUACUAGCUACGAACCCGUAGGUCUGUGGUAAACUACUCAUGCAUCAUCGUAGGGGCAACAAGGAUGAUGAAGAACCCCUCCGUGAUUGUUGCCCCAUCUGGAAGAGUGCCGAAAAAGGCCUCUAGAUUGGAUCUCGUGGUUCUAGAACUUGCGGCGGUGGAAACUAUAUUUCCUCGACUCCCCUAGGGUUUUGGGGAUUUUAGAGUAUUUAUAGAGGCAGAAGUAGGUCAAGAAGCUUCUCGUGGGCCCCAGUACCCACCAAGGCGCGCUAGAGGCCCCUGGCGCGCCCUGGUGCCUAGUGGGCCCCACGGGCCUCCUCUCGUGUUCUCCUUUGGCUCCCAGGGUGUCUUCUGGCCAGAAAAAAUCUCCAAAAAAUUUCGUGUCAUUUGGACUUCGGUUGGUAUUGAUAUUCUGCAAAGUAAAAAAAACAAGCAAAACAGCAACUGGCACUGGGCACUAUGUCAAUAGGUUAGUCCCAAAAAAUGAUAUAAAGUUGCUAGUAAAUCAAUAUAAAACAUCUAAGAUUGAUAAUGUAAUAGCAUGGAACAAUAAAAAAUUAUAUAUACGUUGAAUACACAUCACCGGCAAUCUCCUUCUUCAUGUAAACCUUGCAUAUUAAGAGAUAAAACGCAUUAGAAUUGCUCCAUAAAGUGUUAUAUUGAUUAAAAAACUAUAAAUAACAGUAGGAAAACAUGAUGCAAAAUGGACGUAUCAACUCCCCCAAGUUUAGACCUCUCUUGUCCUCAAGCGAAAGCCGAUAUCGAUAAUCAUGUACACAUGUUUAGAGACAGAGAGAGAGAGAGAGAGAGAGAGAGAGAGAGAGAGAGAGAGAGGUGUCGGUAAAAACAAAAUACAGACAUAGUAGCAUCAUGAUCAUUAUUAUAACAGCAAUAUUCAUUACCAUAUAAAGCAUAAACUUUCUUGAAAACUAACAAACUAUGUUUUCAGUCAACAACGCAAUUGCAAUUCAUCAUAUUUUCAGGAAGGGUCUCAUGUCGGAGCUUUUUAGCAAGUCCACAUACACAACCAUCAUUUAGUCUCCUAUGAUUGCUAACACUCACAACAUAUAUAUGGAGCAAAAAGUUUUAGCCAGACACAUAGAAAGAUAGGGGCUUAUAAUUUCGCCUCCCAACUCAUUCACCUCAAGGGUGAUGUCAACAAUAAUAACUCAUGAUCACUCAUAUCCAACUGGAUAUAUAUGCCUAGAUCUUUCCCCACCACAUGAUGCUUACAAAUGAGAAAAAUAAAAAAGGAAUAGAGGAGAACGUUAUUGACUCUUGCAUAAAAAGUAAAUAGACAAAAGUAAAAGAUAGGCCCUUCGCAGAGGGAAGCAAAGGUUGUCAUGCGCUUUUUGUUUUUGGAUGCACAAUCUCUUAAUGCAAAGGAACGCCACGUUAUAUUGCCCCUUGUGAUAGCAAUAUUUAUUAUGCAGUCUGUCACUUUUAUUUCUUUACCAUCACAAGUCCGUACAAUGAUUAUUUUCCCUUACAAUAAAAGAUCAAACAUAUUUAGAGGCAAUUUUUAUUUCUUUAUGCACCGAUGACAACUUACUUGAAGGAUCUUAUUCAAUUCAUAGGUAGGUAUAGUGAACUCUCAUGACAUGAAACUGGGUUUAAGGUUCCUAGGUGCAUGAUGACCCACGAGUAUAGGGGAUCUAUUGUAGUCCUUUCGAUAAGUAAGAGUGUCGAACCCAACGAGGAGCAGAAGGAAAUGACAAGCGGUUUUCAGUAAGGUAUUCUCUGCAAGCACUGAAAUUGUAGGUAACAGAUAGUUUUGUGAUAAGAUAAUUUAUAACGGGUAACAAGCAAUGAAAGUAAAUAAGGUGUAGCAAGGUGGCCCAAUCCUUUUUGUAGCAAAGUACAAGCCUGGACAAAUUCUUAUAAUGAGAAAAGUGCUCCCGAGGACACAUGGGAAUUAUCGUCAAGCUAGUUUCUUCACGCUCAUAUGAUUCGCGUUCGUUACUUUGAUAAUUUGAUAUGUGGGUGGACUGGUGCUUGGGUACUGCCCUUUCUUGGACAAGCAUCCCACUUAUGAUUAACCCCUAUUGCAAGCACCCUCAACUACAAAUAAAUUAUUAAGGUAAACCUAACCAUAGCAUGAAACAUGUGGAUCCAAAUCAACCCCUUACGAAGCAACGCAUAAACUAGGGUUUAAGCUUCUGUCACUCUAGCAACCCAUCAUCUACUUAUUACUUCCCAAUGCCUUCCUCUAGGCCCAAAUAAUGGUGAAGUGUCAUGUAGUCGAUGUUCACAUAACACCACUAGAGGAGAGACAACAUACAUCUCAUCAAAAUAUCGAACGAAUACCAAAUUCACAUGACUACUAAUAGCAAGACUUCACCCAUGUCCUCAGGAACAAACGUAACUACUCACAAAGCAUAUUCAUGUUCAUAAUCAGAGGGGUAUUAAUAUGCAUUAAGGAUCUGAACAUAUGAUCUUCCACCAAAUAAACCAACUAGCAUCAACUACAAGGAGCAAUCAACACUACUAGCAACCCACAGGUACCAAUCUGAGGUUUUGGUACAAAGAUUGGAUACAAGAGAUGAACUAGGGUUUGAGAGGAGAUGGUGCUGGUGAAGAUGUUGAUGGAGAUUGACCCCCUCCCGAUGAGAGGAUCGUUGGUGAUGACGACGGUGAUGAUUUCCCCCUCCCGGAGGGAAGUUUCCCCGGCAGAACAGCUCCACCGGAGCCCUAAAUUGGUUCCGCCAAGGUUCCGCCUCGUGGCGGCGGAGUUUCGUCUCGUAAGCUUGCUUAUGAUUUUUUUUCCCAAGGUAAAAGACUUCAGAUAGCAUAAGAUGGGCACCGGAGGGCUGCCAGGUGGCCCACGAGGCAGGGGGCGCACCCCCACCCUCGUGGCCAGGGUGUGGGCCCCCUCUGGUACUUCUUCCGCUGAAUAUUUAUCAUUAAUUCCAAAAAUGACUUUCAUGGAGUUUUAGGACUUUUGGAGCUGUGCACAAUAGGUCUCCAAUAUUUGCUCCUUUUCCAGCCAAGAAUCCCAGCUGCCGACAUUCUCCCUCUUCAUGUAAACCUUGUAAAAUAAGAGAGAAUAUCCAUAAGUAUUGUGUCAUAAUGUGAAAUAACAUCCCAUAAUGCAAUAAAUAUCGAUAUAAAAGCAUGGUGCAAAAUGGACGUAUCAACUCCCCCAAGCUUAGACCUCGCUUGUCCUCAAGCGGAAACCGAUAUCGAAAAAUAUGUCCACAUGUUUAGAGAUAGAUGUGUCGAUAAAAAUAAAAUACGGACAUGAGGGCAUCAUGAUCAUUCUUAUAACAGCAACAUAUAUAUAUAUAUAUAUAUAUAUUGUCAUAUGAUUUCUUAUGCUCAAGCAACAAUCUAUUCACAAUGUCAAGUAUGAUUCAGAAACUUCAUUAAGAACUAACAAACUAUAAUCUCAGUCACUGAAGCAAUUGUAAUUUAUCAUAAUAUCAGAAAGAGUCAAUAAUAGAGCUUAUCAGCAAGUCCACAUACUCAACUAUCAUUUAGUCUUCCACAAUUGCUAACACUCACGCAAUACUUAUGGUUCUGGAGUUUUAGUCGGACAUAGAGAAAGAUAGGGGCUUAUUGUGUUGCCUCCCAACCUUUUACCUCAAGGGUAAUGUCAACAAUAAUAGUUCAUGCUAACUUACAUCCAAUUGGAUAUAUAUAUCAGGAUCUUUCCAACACGAGGUGCUUGCCAAAGGAUAAAAAUAAAAAGGGAAAGGUGAAGAUCACCUUGACUCUUGCAUAAAGUAAAAGAUAGGCCCUUCGCAGAGGGAAGCAGAGGUUGUCAUGUGCUUUUAGGAUUGGAUGCACAAAAUCUUAAUGCUAAAGAACGUCACUUUAUAUUGCCACUUGUGAUAUGAACUUUUGUUAUGCAGUCCGUCGCUUUUAUUACUUCCAUAUCACAAGAUCGUAUAAAGCUUAUUUUCUCCGCACUAAUAAGUCGUACAUAUUUAGAGAGCAAUUUUUAUUGCUUGCAACAUGACAACUUACUUGAAGGAUCUUACUCAAUCCGGUAGGUAUGGUGGACUCUCAUGGCAAAACUAGGUUUAAGGAUAUUUGGAAGCACAAGUAGUAUCUCUACUUCGUGCAAGGAAUUUGGCUAGCAAGAGGGGGAAAGGCAAGCUCAACAUGUUUGAAUGAUCCAUGACAAUAUACUUUAACUGAGAUGUGAGAAAACAUAACUCAUUAUGUUGUCUUCCUUGUCCAACAUCAACUCUUUAGCAUGUCAUACUUUAAUGAGUCCUCACAAUCAUAAAAGAUGUCCAAGAUAGUAUAUUUGUAUGUGAGAACCUCUCUUUCUUUAUUACUUCCUAUUAAUUGCAACAAUGACCAAAACUAUGUUUGCCAACUCUUAACAACUUUUAAUCAUCAUACUCUCUAUAUGUGAAGUCAUUACUAUCCAUAAGAUCAAUAUGAUCUCUUUUAUUUCUUUUUAUUCUUUUAUGCACUUAAGAUCAUAGCAAGAUAGCAAAGCCCUUGACUCAACACUAAUAUUUAUUAUAUAAAGCUCAAGGACUCGAUUACAUAGAGGGAUCUCAAAGCAAAACUCAAAACUAAUUCAUACCAAAACUUUAUUCUACUAGAUCAAGAUAUUACCAAAAGGAUUGAACUAAAUGAAAACGGUAAAGAUAGGAGUGUGAUGGUGAUACGAUACCGGGGCACCUCCACCAAGCUUGGCAGUUGCCAAGGGGAGUGCCCAUACCCAUGUGAUUAUGUCCUCGGAGGUGGUGAUGAUGUAGGUGAUACAUCUCCAACGUAUCUACUUUUCCAAACACUUUUGCCCUUAUUUAGGACUCUAACUUGCAUGAUUUGAAUGAAACUAACCCAGACUGACGUUGUUUUCAGCAGAAUUGCCAUGGUGUUAUUUUUGUGUAGAAAUAAAAAGUUCUCAGAAUGUCCUGAAAAUCCACGGAGGAACUUUUCAGAAAAUAUAAACAAUACUGGCGAAAGAAUCAAGGCUAGGGGCCCACACCCUAUCCACGAGGGUGGGGGCGCGCCCCCCUGCCUCGUGGCCCCCUGGAGCUCCACCGACCUCAACUCCAACUCUAUAUAUUCCCUUUCGCGGAGAAAAAAAUCAGGGAGAAAGUUUCUUCGCGUUUUACGAUACGAAGCCGCCGCCAAGCCCUAAUCUCUCUCGGGAGGGCUGAUCUGGAGACUGUUCGGGGCUCCGGAGAGGGGGAUUCGUCGCCGUCGUCAUCAUCAACCAUCCUCCAUCACCAAUUUCAAGAUGCUCACCGUCGUGCGUGAGUAAUUCCAUCGUAGGCUUGCUGGACGGUGAUGGGUUGGAUGAGAUUUACCAUGUAAUCAAGUUAGUUUUGUUAGGGUUUGAUCCCUAGUAUCCACUAUGUUCUGAGAUUGAUGUUUCUAUGACUUUGCUAUGCUUAAUGCUUGUCACUAGGGCCCAAGUGCCAUGAUUUCAAAUCUGAACCUAUUAUGUUUUCAUGAAUAUAUGUGAGUUCUUGAUCCUAUCUUGCAAGUCUAUAGUCACCUAUUAUGUGUUAUGAUCCGACAACCCCAAAGUGACAAUAAUCGGGAUAAUUCUCGGUGAUGACCGUAGUUUGAGGAUUUCAUGUAUUCACUAAGUGUUAAUGCUUUGGUUCGGUAAUCUAUUAAAAGGAGGCCUUAAUAUCCCUUAGUUUCCAUUAGGACCCCGCUGCCACGGGAGGGUAGGACAAAAGAUGUCAUGCAAGUUCUUUUCUAUAAGCACGUAUGACUAUAUUCAGAAUACAUGCCUACAUUACAUUGAUGAACUGGAGCUAGUUCUGUGUCACCCUAUAUUAUAACUAUUACAUGAGGAAUCACAUCCGACAUAAUUAUGCAUCGCUGAUCCAAUGCCUACGAGCUUUUCACAUAUUGUGCUUUGUUUAUUUACUUUUCCGUUGCUACUGUUACAAUUACUACAAAACUGUUAUCAUUACUUUUGCCACUGUUACCAUUACUAUCAUACUACUUUGCUACUAAAUACUUUGCUGCAUAUUUAAGAGUAUUAGUUAAUGGUUUAAGCUCAAACACGGGAUCACCCUUGGGUGGAGGGGGAUCCCCUAGGAUUUCGACAGGCAAGUUGUGUUUCAAAAUAGGACCCUGUUUAAAGAAUACUUCAUCUAUCUCCCUUCUUUCAUUCAUAAACAUAUCAUUUUCAUGGUCUAGCAAAUAUUGUUCUAAAGGAUCGCUAGGAGGCACGGAAAUAGAAGCAAGACCAAUUAUUUCGUCCUUACUAGGCAAUUCUUUAUCAUGGGGUUGUCUACGAAAUUUAGCAAAAUUAAACUUAUGUGUCAUAUCCCCCAAACCAAUAGUAACAACAUCCUUUUCGCAAUCUAUCCUAGCAUUAACAGUGUUCAAGAAGGAUCUACCAAAUAUAAUGGGACAAAAGUCAUCUUGUGGGGAACCAAGAACAAGAAAAUCAGCAGGAUAUUUAACUUCCCACACAAGACUUCAACAUCUCUAACAAUCCCAAUUGGUGAAAUAGCAUUUCUAUUGGCAAGCUUAAUUGUAACAGCAAUAUCUUCUAUCUCAGCAGGUGCAAUGUCAUGCAUGAUUUAUUUAUAUAAGGAAAGAGGUAUUGCACUGGCACUAGCACCCAUAUCACAUAAGCCAUGAUAACAAUGAUCUCCUAUUUUAACAUAAAUAAUAGGCAUGCCUACAACAGGUCUAUGUAUCUUAGCAUCGGGUCUAGCAAUAUUAGCAACUUCAUCACAGAAAAAAAUAACAUGCCCAUCAAUAUUAUCGGCCAAGAGAUCUUUAACCAUAGCAAUACUAGGCCCAACUUUAAUUUGCUCAGGAGGUGUAUAUGUUCUAGUAUUACUCUUACGAACCACAGUUGAAGCUUUAGCAUGAUCCUUUACCCUAACAGGGAAAGGUGGUUUCUCAACAUAAGUAGUAGGAACAAUAGGAUCAUUAUAAGUGAUAAUCUUUUCUUCAACUGUAACAGGUGUAACUACUUUUACUUCAGUGGGAGAAUUAUAUUUAAACCACUUCUCCUUAGGGAGAUCAACGUGAGUAGCAAAUGAUUCACAGAAAGAAGCUACUAUCUCAGAGUCAAGUCCAUAUUUAGUGCUAAAUCCACGAAAAGCAUCGGUAUCCAUAAAAGAUUUAACACAAUCAAACUUAGGUGUCAUACCUGACUCCUUACCAUCAUCGGAAUCCCAAUCUUCAGAGUUGCGUUUAAUUCUUUCCAAUAAAUCCCACUUGAAUUCAAUAGUCUUCAUCAUAUAAGAACCAGCACAAGAAGUAUCGAGCAUGGUGCAAUCAUUGAGAGAAAGCCGAGCAUAAAUUUUUUGAAUAAUCAUUUCUCUUGAGAGCGCAUGAUUGGGGCAUGAAUAUAACAUUGACUUAAGCCUCCCCCAAGCUUGGGCGAUGCUUUCUCAUUCGCGAGGCCAAAAAUUAUAUAUAUAAUUACGAUCACGAUGAACAAGAUGCAUAGGAUAAAACUUCUGGUGAAAUUCCAAUUUCAAUCGUUUAUAGUCCCAGGAUCCCAUAUCAUCACAUAGCAUAUACCAUGUCAAUGCGUCUCCCUUCAAAGAUAAAGGGAAAACCUUCUUCUUAACAACAUCAUCGGGCAUACCUGCAAGCUUAAAUAAUCCACAAACUUCAUCCACAUAGAUAAGAUGUAAAUCGGGAUGCAAUGUUCCAUCUCCUACAAAGGGAUUAGCUAGCAGUUUCUCUACCAUACCCGAAGGAAUUUCAAAGUAAACAUUUUCAGUAGAUUCAGUAGGUUGAGGAGCAGCACUUUGCUCUACUGGUAGGGGUGAAGAUACCCCAAACAAGCCCCUCAAAGGAUUAGUUUUGAUAAUAACAAGUGACAAUAAAUUUCAGCACACUAUAUAAAUGUUUCCUUACCAAGUUCCACUCACCAAAGGCGCUUCACUCGCCGGCAACGGCGCUAGAAAAGAGUCUUGAUGACCCACAAGUAUAGGGGAUCUAUCGUAGUCCUUUCAAUAAGUAAGAGUGUCGAACCCAGUGAGGAGCAGAAGGAAAUGACAAGCGGUUUUCAGUAAGGUAUUCUCUGCAAGCACUGAAUUGUAGGUAACAAAUAGUUUUGUGAUAAGAUAAUUUGUAACGGGUAACAAGCAAUGAAAGUAAAUAAGGUGCAGCAAGGUGGCCCAAUCCUUUUUGUAGCAAAGGACAAGCCUAGACAAAUUCUUAUAAUGAGAAAAGUGCUCCCGAGGACACAUGGGAAUUAUCGUCAAGCUAGUUUUCAUCACGCUCAUAUGAUUCGCGUUCGUUACUUUAAUAAUUUGAUAUGUGGGUGGACCGGUGCUUGGGUACUGCCCUUUCUUGGACUAGCAUCCCACUUAUGAUUAACCCCUAUUGCAAGCAUCCGCAACUACAAAAGAAGUAUUAAGGUAAACCUAACCAUAGCAUGAAACAUGUGGAUCCAAAUCAGCCCCUUACGAAGCAACGCAUAAACUAGGGUUUAAGUUUCUGUCACUCUAGCAACCCAUCAUCUGCUUAUUACUUCCCAAUGCCUUCCUCUAGGCCCAAAUAAUGGUGAAGUGUCAUGUAGUCGAUGUUCACAUAACACCACUAGAGGAGAGACAACAUACAUCUCAUCAAAAUAUCGAACGAAUACCAAAUUCACAUGACUACUAAUAGCAAGACUUCACCCAUGUCCUUAGGAACAAACGUAACUACUCACAAAGCAUAUUCAUGUUCAUAAUCAGAGGGGUAUUAAUAUGCAUUAAGGAUCUGAACAUAUGAUCUUCCAUCAAAUAAACCAACUAGCAUCAACUACAAGGAGUAAUCAACACUACUAGCAACCCACAGGUACCAAUCUAAGGUUUCGGUACAAAGAUUGGAUACAAGAGAUGAACUAGGGUUUGAGAGGAGAUGGUGCUGGUGAAGAUGUUGAUGGAGAUUGACCCCCUCCCGAUGAGAGGAUCGUCGGUGAUGACGAUGGUGAUGAUUUCCCCCUCCCGAAGGGAAGUUUCCCCGGCAGAACAGCUCCGCCGGAGCCCUAGAUUGGUUCCGCCAAGGUUCCGCCUCGUGGCGGCGGAGUUUCGUCCCGUAAGCUUGCUUAUGAUUUUUUUUCCAGGGUAAAAGACUUCAUAUAGCAGAAGAUGGGCACCGAAGGGCUGCCAGGUGGCCCACGAGGCAGGGGGCACGUCCAGGGGGUAGGGCGCGCCCCCCACCCUUGUGGCCAGGGUGUGGGCCCCCUCUGGUACUUCUUCCGCUGAAUAUUUAUCACUAAUUCCAAAAAUGACUUUCGUGGAGUUUCAGGACUUUUGGAGCUGUGCAGAAUAGGUCUCCAAUAUUUGCUCCUUUUCCAACCCAGAAUCCCAACUGCCAGCAUUCUCCCUCUUCAUGUAAACCUUGUAAAAUAAGAGAGAAUAGCCAUAAGUAUUGUGACAUAACGUGAAAUAACAGCCCAUAAUGCAAUAAAUAUCGAUAUAAAAGCAUGAUGCAAAAUGGACGUAUCAGUGCACAAGUAGUAUCUCUACUUGGUGCGGAUUUGUGGCUAGCAAAGAUAUUGGGCAAGCACCACAUGUUGGAGGAUAUAUGAAAAUAUAACUUCUAUGUGAAUAUAAGCAAAAUAAUUCUUACAUUGUCUUCCUUCUCCAACCUCAAUAAUUUGGCAUAAAAUACUUAAUGGGGGCUCACAAUCAUAAAAGAUAUCCAAGAUAGUGUGUUUGCAUGUGAAUCUUCUCUUCCCUUAUUAAUUCUUUCGUGAAUUGCAUGCAACAUUGAUAAACUUCAAUAAACUUCUCUUCCCUUAUGCAAACACACUUAUACUUUACCAUAUGAUGCAAACAUAUGAUGCAAUUCACAUAGAAGUUUUAAUGCAAUUCACAUAGAAGUUUUAAUUGCAUCCAAGAUAGUGUGUUUGCAUGUUGUUUUUUAGACCAAUGCUAUGUUUGUCAACCUUCAAUAAGCUUUACCACUUAUACUUUUCCUUACGUAAUGUCAUUACUUUCUAUAAGAUUAACAUAUGAUCUUUUUCAUUAUUUUCAUUGCUAGGAUUGAAACAUAAAAGUAAAGAAGCAAAAACUCAAACUACUCUUUAUUAUAUAACUCUCAACUCGAUUACAUAGAUAGAUAGAUCACGAAACUAGCACUUGAAAAUAGAUCAUACUAAACUUUUAUUCAGCUAAAUCAUGAAAUAACUAAGGAUCGAACUAAAAUAGGUGAAGAUAAUAAAAGUGAUGGUGAUACGAUGCCGGGGCACCUCCCCCAAGGCCAUGGCCCGUUUUGACUGCCCCUUUGCACAAGAUUGAUGCAUACAAGCAAGAACAUUUCUAUGAAUAUUUUGCACUGAAUCUUCCGACUACAGCAAGUAUUACAUUAUAUCUAAGAAAAUACCACCGAUGAUAAAUGGAAUUGUAUGAGAUUUGACAGUUUAUUCUUGAUUAAUUAAUUUCUUUCUUUCUUGAGAAAUUCAAUUAAUUAAUAUCCUUUUCCAGCAUGACGAAGUUGAGAGUGUUUCCUUCCUAACAGAUAGUUCCCACAUGUAUGUGGACAUCCAAUGGUCCCAAGCACCACGAGAUUAGUGGGAUCCUUUCUCAUUAACUUUUGCAUUUAGGACACUAUGCUUAAUAGAAAUUAACCCACAAUCCAACUCUCUCUUCCUCUCACAUCUAUUAAUCCAUGCAUACUUUUGGGUUCAUACUUAGAAAGGGACAUAUACUCUGAACCCUAACACCAAUUUGGGAUCCUUUUCACCAUGGUAUUUCUCUUGGCGAGAUCUUUCAAACAAGACCAAUGUUGAAUAUGUUUCGGACUAAAAAACAUGUUUUAAAAUUGAAAUGCAACAUUGAUAAAAAAACUGAAACCAGAUUUUAUAUAUGCAAGUUUCAUAUGGCUUACAGAGACUUCCAGUGUGGUAUGUUUUUCAGUGGAUAUUCAAAUAUUCAUGUUUUCAAACUCAAAUGAAACAUUUUUUUGAGGGAACUCAAAUGAAACAUUGACGAAACUUUCUGAAACCAACUUUUUCUUAUUGAUUUAACUUCCAUGUGGCUUUGAGUGACUAUCGUUGUGAUUUCAUUAGUUCAUAUAAUUAUACAUGAGUUCAUAUGGCUUUCUCUAAGUUUUCACUAUGAUUUCAUUAUUUCAUAUAGUUUUCUGUAACUUAGUUUCAUGUUAAUUCGUAUUAGCUUGAGUUUUACAUGAGUUUGUGCAAACCUCAUCUUAUUUUUUUUUUUGAAAACUAAUUUAAACCUCAACAAAAUAUGACUGAAACAUCAACAAAAAACGGGUAGGGGAGGGGUGCUAUUGUGCAAAAGCGGAAAGAGUUAACAAUUAAAAUGGUCCAAACGAAACGGGCGUCAUUUAUAAACUGCACAAUUAUGAAGAUUGACCAAGGAACGCCGGGGGGUGUUUCUUUCGGAUCCGGCUUGCCUGCUCCCUUCCCAUGCUCCCACUUCAUCCUACGACUGUCUUUUUUCCUUUUCUCUUUCUAAUCUAAUCAUCUCCCCUCUGAUUUUAAGGGGGUGGGGCCGGACCUUAUUUUGUUCCAAUCAAAACAAGCCACGUAUACGGGAGCACGGAUGGGCACACGCCGGGGGAGCAGGCAAGUCUCGUCCGUUUCUUUCCUUACUCCAUGGAAUCGACAAAACUCCAGCACAUAUAAAGUUAAUGACAGCCUACUUUGCCCGAGGGUGUGUUUCUUUUGGUGGGGCCAGGGAGGAGCCUUUUGUGUAAAAGAGGAAAGAAAUAACCCUACCCAGGCUGCACGCCUACUUAACUAGAACCACGAGGCUCUCGUCACACAACAGAAUUUGCUAACCCCUCCACAAGGCUGCUCUCUCCACAGGAGAACCCCCCACCUCCACCCCCUUUGCAUCUGAUGGUCCCCGGAAAGCUUCCCUCACCGACCUGCGAUCGCGGGCAGAGCAAAUCUUAUGGUAUCUUCAACCACAGAAGCCCUUCGUCACACCGCGGCCACGUUAAUCAAGGAAGGCCGUCGGUGGGACCUACUCCUCUUUCCCGUCGCUUUUCGCCGCGUUUGCGCCGAGGAGACGGUGGUCACGCUGGCCCCAUGGAGUCGUCGGCGUCGCUUCAAGGUGUGAACACCGCCGCUGGCCAGCUGACUCUUCCGCAGCAAGAGAGGGGUAAGAAGCCAAGGGUGGCCGAAAAGGAGGGCGGGGGCCAGCUGGUCCCCACCGAAACCUUGUUUCGAACCACACCGUGCAGUCAGGGCCUUAGGGCUCGAACGGUGGAGAUCUUGGACAGGGCAUACGGGCUGAAGGUGUCAGACGAGAAUCUGGAUGAAUUGUGCUACAACAGGUAUGUGCACAAAGUCAUUUUGCACGGUUGCGUUAUAUGUCAGUACAUCUCCAAGCACUCACUUCUUCUGAGAUUCAUGCAAAUGUAUCGCCCACCUAGAUGUAUAGUACUACUAUGUUUCUUGUAUCUUUCUUUUUAGUCAAACUGGCAUCAACUUUAUGUGCCCAAAGUACACUUUCUGUUAGGGAAGGUACACAUGCAGCUCUUUCCUCUCUAUCUACCCACAGAACAAAUCCAUAGACUUUAUUUCAUCAUAGACAAUUUAAAUCUUUUAAACUAUAGACUCGUUUGUGAAACUUUUUAUAUAUUUGGACUCCUGGCAUCAAGAACUUUAGAACUAGACCAAUUCUGGAUACAUUUCAAACACAUUUAAAUUUCGACGUUUCACAUUUCACAUGUGAAAUUAACCAAUUUCACUAGAAAAAAUAUGAAACAAACUUAUUUCACUAGAAAUAUGUGAAAACAACUUUUUUCACAUAUAAAAUGUUAACUUGUGAAACUAAUUAUUUGGAAAUGAAGAACAUUUUAUUUCAAAAGAGCAAAAUAUGUUAUUUCAAAAAUUUGCAAUUGAAAUAGAUGUGAUUUUUGUGCAACAAGCGAGUGAAAAGUGAACGCACCUUCUGAAAGUGAAAAAAAAAGUGAAAUUAAAUCUCAACUUGUGGAAUAGGAAUUUUUGAAAUGUGUAACGGUUUAUUUUAAAAGAGUGAAAUAUGUUAUUUCAAUAAUGUGAAAUUGAAAUAGAUGUGAUUUUUGCGAAGCACCCCAGUGCAAAGUGAAAUGUAGGUUCUGAAAGUUAAAAGUAAUAUGAAGUGAAAUGACAACUUGUGAAACUGACUAUUUCAAAAUGUGUAAAAGUUUAUUUCAAAAGUGUGAAACAUGUUAUUUAUAAAAUGUGUAAUUGAAAUAUAUGUGAUUUUUGUGAAACAAGCCAGAGAAAAAUGAAAUGUAGGUUCUGAAAGUGGAAACCAGUAUGAAUCUGAAAUAUCAACUUGUGAAAUCAAUUUUUUUCAAAAUGUGAGAUGGUUUAUUUUAAAAUAGUGAAAUAUGUUCUUUCAAAAAUGUGCAAUUGAAAUAGAUAUGAUUUUUCUGAAACACGGUGGAAAGUGAAAUGUAAGUUGUGAUAGUGAAAAACAACAUAAACUAAAAUAUCAACUUGUGAAAAUGAUUGAAAUCAUUUUAUUCAAAAUGUUUCAAGUGAGUGAAAUAUGUUUCAUGAUUUUUCAACUCAUUUAAAAUGUAUUCAAAUUCGGUCUUCUUUGAAAGGUCUUUGCGACAUGAGUUCAAAUAUAUAAAAAGUUUUGAAAUUGGAAUAUUGGUUUAAAAGAUAUGAACAAUUUAAGUUAGCAAACAUAAAAUAAAUGGAUGGGCUUGUUUGGGGGAAGGAAGAGAGAGAAUGGCAGCGCAUGGAUGCAACCGUGAUGUACCAUCUGACAGAAAAGUAUGGGGAUCAUCUGACAUACGCAGAGUGUAUUGCAGUGUAUUUCAUAUGAAAAGUCAUUCACGGUUAUACAUUUUCUGGCAGAUGAAUCUUGAGCACUUAAUAAACGGCCAGAGAUCUGCCGCUACCUGGCCUUAACGCGCAAUUUUCCGUUUUGCAGGUAUGUGCAGCGCGCGCAGGAAAUCAUGUGCCGGGAAGCCAGCGAGCCGGGUUUUCCUUUGGUUGGAGGAAACCCCUUUUCAUCAAAAAAGGCUAACGAGCCGGCCGUCUCCGGCCAGCGCGUCGCGGCCAAGAUUCCCAAGGGAAAGGAGCCCGUAACACAUUAUGUACUCGAGUCAGCUGAAGUGCCAGCACCCCACAUCAACCUUAUCAUCGUGAGCGACGACGACGACGAGGAGGAGGAGGAGGCUAACAAGGUCGCCGCUGAGACCAACAAAUCCUCCGUGAACAUCGUGGAUCCUCGUGCGGCAGCAGCUGUGGCGAUUGCGCCAGUCCUUCCUGCUGCGACUUCUGCGCCGUCUCCAAUUACCCCGGCGGCCGGGAUGCCUAUGGCCUUUGCAACAGAUUCGGCUACCCGUGCUACUUAUGGCCAUGGCAAUGGCGCCGCCGGCGUCUGCGCACGUGGGAUCAAAAGGCCACACGCUCAUGAUGCAACCUUUGCACCGGCUCCGGGCGCGGGGGCGCCAGUGGCCUUUGCACCAGCUCUGGCUACCCCUGCUGCUUCCGAUCAUGGGAACAUGGGCAGGAUGGCCCAGGAACUGCAGGACAUCGAGGCCGUAUCCGCCUCCAUGGCCCGGACCCAGACGAUAUAUCGCCGCUCGGUGAGCGCCAGGUCGAACCUGCCACGGUGGGGGUGUCAGAGCCUUCGAACCCCCACGACCCGCUCGGCUCCUGCACAUUGCGGUUUGCUGAUGAAACGCAACACGACGGGGCCAGCCCCUGCCUAUGCUGGUUCCUCAUACCGUGCCCCUGCGGCUAACAUAAGCAGCUCCGCUCCCGGUUCUUCAUCCCGUGCCCCUCCUGCUAAAAUCACCAGCUUCGCUCCGGGCUCCUCAUUCCGUGCCCUUCCUGCUAACAUCAGCAGCUCCGCCCCUCCUGCUAACAUCAGCAGCUUCGCUCAGGGCUCCUCAUCCCGUGCCCCUCCUGCUAAAAUCACCAGCUUCCCUCUGGGCUUCUCAUCCCGUGCCCCUCCUGCUAAAAUCAUCAGCUCUGCUCCGGACUCCUCAUUCCAUGNNNNNNNNNNNNNNNNNNNNNNNNNNNNNNNNNNNNNNNNNNNNNNNNNNNNNNNNNNNNNNNNNNNNNNNNNNNNNNNNNNNNNNNNNNNNNNNNNNNNNNNNNNNNNNNNNNNNNNNNNNNNNNNNNNNNNNNNNNNNNNNNNNNNNNNNNNNNNNNNNNNNNNNNNNNNNNNNNNNNNNNNNNNNNNNNNNNNNNNNNNNNNNNNNNNNNNNNNNNNNNNNNNNNNNNNNNNNNNNNNNNNNNNNNNNNNNNNNNNNNNNNNNNNNNNNNNNNNNNNNNNNNNNNNNNNNNNNNNNNNNNNNNNNNNNNNNNNNNNNNNNNNNNNNNNNNNNNNNNNNNNNNNNNNNNNNNNNNNNNNNNNNNNNNNNNNNNNNNNNNNNNNNNNNNNNNNNNNNNNNNNNNNNNNNNNNNUAACAUCAACAGCUCUGCCCCUCCUGCUAACAUCAGCAACUCCGCUCCGGGCUCCUCAUCCCGUGCCCCUCAUGCUAAAAUCACCAGCUCUGCUCUGGGCUCCUCAUCCCGUGCCCCUCCUGCUAAAAUCAGCAGCUCCGCUCCGGGCUCCUCAUUCCGUGCCCUUCCUGCUAACAUCAGCAGCUCCGCUCCAAGCUCCUCAUCCUGUGCCUCUCCUGUUAACAUCAGCAGCUCCGCUCCGGGCAUGGCUACGCCGGAGCAAGGGAACGGGAAUCGUGGCUUCAUCCGCCUCUUCGGCGUCAACAUUGCCCAGCAGGAGUAGGCGAUACUUCUGCAAGCGCUACCGGAGGCUUGCAGCUCAGCAUGCUAGUCCCUUAGCUCGCUCAUGAUUUCCCGCUGCUGAUUCUCAGUCAGUGCGGCAAAAUAGUAUCUUUGCUUCCGUUAUUUACUUUCGAGAUGAUUACAUUGGUUCAGAUUUUACAUAGUUCGUUCAUACUAGAGCUUUUAGCCUGUAUGUAGGCUUUCCAGAUUUAUCGGUUUUAUGAACUAUUUCAAGUUUGAUUCUAGGGUUCAUACCAGAGCUUGUAGCCUUGUAGGCGUUCCAGAUCAACCAGUUGUAUGAAUCACUUCGGUUUAGAUUCUAGAGUUCAUACAGGAGCCUGUAGCCUUUUGGCUUUCCAGAUGUAAUCAGGUGUAUGAAUUAUCUCAUGGAAUAAAGUUAUAAGAGUUGUUUGAAUAACGUAUCUCUCGAAACAAGCUUUUGUCCAACUUUAUAUAUAGAGCCCAAACAGCCGAACCGAUACAAAGGUGGUGGGAAAACAGAGCUGUGAGAGUUGGGAAACAAAGUUGCCAGAGUAUUCAGUAUGCACUGUUGUCUUACUCUCUGAAUGUACAUCAAGUGUAUCAAAAAUAAUCAAGCUGUUCUACUUGAACCUCUCCUUGUAUACAGCACAGAUGCAAAUUAAGUGGAAACCUUUUGAUGUCUAAGAAUAUAACUACACUUUUUUGUGGAACAUGAGCAUCAGUUAGAUCUUAGAAGUAUACGUAUUUACAUCCCUGAUGAUGAUGAUGGCAUAUGCAAGUGAUUGAGUAAGCGGUACCAAGGUCCGAGGGUCA